rnacentral:lncRNA from 1 species
CACAAAAAAACUAACAGGCUUUUACCGAGUAGCAUAAAAAUAUUCCUUAAUGCAUAUGCUCGAACACAAGACUUAGAAGUAUUAUAGCUUAACCAUUGAACUAUAAGGCUCAUUCUUGACAAAGAUUAACACGAAAAUAAACUUAAGUCAAAUGUUCAACAAUAAGGGUCAAGUCAAACAAAAUAACAAAAUUUUCCAAAAGUGAGGUUUGAACUCCUAACCUCUAACACACAAACAAAGCACUUAGCCACUGAUACAAAGACUUAACUAUAUCAAAAUUUAACAAACAACACUCAAAUUCUUGGGGCAUUACAACACCGCCACAAAUUGGUGUGAUUGGAUGGAUGGACUCCUAUAGUCCUAUAUGGUGUGAUUGGCUGGUCAAAAAUAGUGAAUAGCGGAUGGGGGUAGGACAUGUUAUGAUAUGAUAUGAUAUGUUAUAAUACAUUAUGAUAUGAUAAGAUAUGAUCAGAAUGAAAUCUGAUACGAUAUGAAAUAAUAAAAGAUAUGUUAUGAUUUGAAUUCCAAUAUGAUAUGAUAUGACAUGUUCAUGUUUUGUUUUAUAUAUAUUUGAACUGAAAUUAUGGGCCAAGUCACACACUGGGCUUAAAGCUCACGCCUUGCCUGUUUCAUUUCAGGUGAUCCUCAAACUUAGAAUUGGACGGCAACUCUAGAGUUUGGAUUUCACUCAUUUAGUUUAAGUAUAAAUUAGAUUAUCUUUUGUUAUACGGACUUUUUAUGGACUUUUCAGACAUUUUUUACUUUUAUUCUUGGUUGGGACUUUAACUUUGGUUUUGGUAAUUGUUUAAUAAUCAUACUGUCUAAAACCAGAAUGUUAAUCAAAACGGCAUAAUUAAGACACUAUAGUUUAUAAUUCAAGGGUUUAAAAUGUUUCUGCUGCAAAGUUUUCAAAAUUCAAUACGAUGUUUUAAUUAAAUUAAUAAAUAAGGUUUUUGUCAAAAUGCUUUUACGCAGUAUUCUAACUACCUACGUUCUUAAUAAAUUAAAUAACUUUAUACUCUGGAGAUAAAUUAACUUUUUACAUAACCUUUCGAUGAUGUUUUUACAUAAUGAUGUAACGUUCAUAAUCCGACUAUAACGUCUAGUCCUGAUUUGGGGUGUUACAUGGCACCCUUUUAAUCUUGCAAAUCUUGUCGAGACAAUUCAAAUAUGAAAAUUUUUGGCAUCGAAAGCAAAUCAAGUUCAAGACUUGGCCACUUUCUAUCCUCAACAAAGAUUGUGUACGUGAUCAAAUCUUAAGUAAACAUUUGUAAAAGGAGAAAAUGUUGGACCAACCAAAAUUCAUUUUUUCAUUAUUAUUUAUCUUAAAUUAAAUUAAAUUCACUAAUAAUAGAUCAACAAAAAUAAAUAAAUACUUUUAGAAAUUUUUUAUAGAUACAUCAUAUUAUUUUAAACUAAUAUUAGAUAAAUAAUACAUAAAAUAGUUUAAUCCUUGUAAAUCACUCAAAUGAAGAAGUUAUAUUUUACAAAAUCUCACUUUUACUCAGUGGCUAACACUAUGAAAAGCGAUCACCUUUAAAUCAUUUUACACAAAUUUACAAGUUCAGAAAUCUAAAAGUCUAGAAAUUAAAACUUGAUGAAAAAAUUUUAAAAGAUAGAAACUUUCUCCAAAAUCUCAAGAAUUUUUUGAAAAAUUAGAGAACUCAAAAAAAAAUCAUGAAGUACGUCGCAAUUGGUUUGAAGAAAAUUGCUCUCUAAUCUUGUAUAUCUUGAAGAUCUUUAAAAGAGAUCAUAUUCAUUCAAGAAUAUUAAAUCUAAACGACCUUUAAAUCGAAGUUCCAUUGAAUGAGAAAAUUAAAUAAUUUUCUUUUAUUUGUUUCACUUUUUCAAGUAUUAUUUUCGACACAAAAUUUAUAUGUACUAUGUUUAUAAUUAUUAUAUAGAUAAUUUGAAUAUGACACAUUAAAAAUUAAACAAUGUAAUUUUUUUCUGAAAUAAAUGUUUAGUUCAAACUUUAUUAAAGAGAAGUGAGAGAAAUAGUGUUAUAUCAACUUACAAAACCAUGUACCCAAAAGCUUAAACGUAUAGACUACUUACCCUUACCCUUACUCUCUCGUGCAAAUCCAUUACAGUAAUCAGCUAUCUACAUCUACAUCUACAUCUACAUCUACAUACACUACACUACCACAUAGAUGUAUCUAUCAAUCGAACUUUAAUCUCAAACAUGAAUAAACUCAUUUUAACCGAUAACUCUAUAGCUCUAAUAUUACUAAAAUAUCCUCCUUACCUCCUUAAAACACCUAUACAACUUCUCACUGUUUCACAAUGAAGACCAUUUUAGUCAUUUCGAAGCACCAAAAAGGAGGUGGGCCCCACACAGUCCACGAUCUCGUUAAGGUAAACCCAAUGGAUGCUUACCGAGAAAUCGUUACUACGGUUUUCUUAUUUUAUUUUUAUAAAAACAAUCUCCACGUACACUGCACACGUGUUCGGACACGACCUGCCCGCACGUGUAACGGGCUUCCACUCCUGUCGUCAUUAAAAGGUUCCCUCCCUCGAUAAACUCCAAAUUUCUAAAACGGUUUUUCCACUAACAGACAAAAUCCAUGCAUGUGCUUAAACCCCCAACUUACAACAAUUUUUAAUUUAUAUUUUAAGUACCAAAAUAAUAUUAUUUAAUAUUCAUUACUUAUUCUUUUUUUCAAAAAUAUAUUUUUUUAAUUCGAAAUUAAAUCGAAAAUCAAACCCAACGAUAAAAUAUGAAUUUCUUAAAUAUUUAAUCAAAUUUUCAAUUUUCAAUUUAUCAAACCAAAAAUUUAAUUUUUAAAAGAAGGGCUUACGAAUAACUUGAAAAUUACUUUUAACAAUUAAAAUUUAAAAUUUUUUUAUGGGGAAAAGCAAAUAAUGAUACGUUACAAAUGAAAUUUUAUUGGUUGACAUGAACAGUAGUAGAACGUGUGAUAUGUAACUGUUAAAAAAUGGCUGAUUUUUCGAAUGAGACAUUAAUGUGUGCACUUUUCGAAUUAUGUGCUGAAAAUAAAAUAAAAUAUUUUUUUUCAAAACUAAUUUAAAGUAAAUUUAAAAAUGUAUAAAAUAUUAAUUUUAAAAAUGACCACGAAUUUAGAAUAUAUAUAACUACAUUCGUCUUAAUCAGUAAUUAAAUCCGUUUUAUGAUUUGAACUUAAUUCUGUUACCAUUUCUAUCAUUAUAAUUUAAGAAAAAUAAAAAUUACAUCGUGUGUUUAUUAUGUACAUUGAACAUAUAUAGAGAUUUGUAUAAAUAAUGAGGUGAAUUUAUUAUUUACUUUUUAAAGGAAAAUAUAUAGUUAUGUAUUUGGUAUUAGUAUUUAUGUAUAUUUAUGGUGAAUUUAUUAUUUACUUUUUAAAGGAAAAUCAUAUAAAUAUAAUCAAGUAAUAGGUAUUAUUAGUAUUUAUUUCACCUGCUGACUCCCCAAUGAAUACAUGAUUCCCAUGGUCAAACAAGCAAAACAAAACAAACCCAUAAUAAUUAUCACCACUUUUGAAACCAAAAAAAAAAAAAAAAAACAAAGUCUCCCUGAAUACGUUACAACCUAAUUUGCAAUAGGCAUUUUUCUUGUGACACUGCUUUCUCUUCCGGGCAUGAUAAGUGUGACAGUUUCUCCAUUUUCACAACAAGCUUUUUUUUUUUUCAUAUAUAAAUAUAAAUGUUACAUCACUAUUUCUUUUAGUUAGAAUCAUAUAAUAAAUAUUAAAAAUUGGGAGGUUUUAUUUGAUAUUCUAAGAUUUAUUUAUUUUUUUGGAUAGAUAUAAAUGUAAUUUUUAUCUUUGUAAGAUUCAUCUCUAAAUUAUAUCAUGUUAUAUUGAAUAUCUAACCUAAACACAUACAAUAUUAGUAUAUAAAAAAUAUAAAUCUAUAUUUAUUUUAUUAACAAAAAAGUUUAGCUAGUUGAAUAUAAGAUGGACCGUAUGCAUGAUUUAAUGUUGCUUUUUAUAAUAAGAUGAAAGCCAAUAGAUGGGCGAAAGAAUUUCAUUAGUAAACAUAAAAUAUACAAUUUUUUUUUAAAAAAAAUGGAAGAAAAAAUUGAAAAAAUUAUGAAAGCAUAAAAGUGGGACAAUGAUUUCAAUAGUCAAAAAGAUUCAAAAAGGAGAAGAAUUUAUAUAAUAACUGAUCAUCUUUAAUAGGUUAGCUAACGGAACAUUGCCUUAUUAAAAGUAUACAAAAAAAGAUAAUUAAAGUCACCUAAAAAUCAUGUCAAAAGCAAUGAAAGAAAAGGGAAGUUGAAUGACUCACCCCCACCAAAUAUCAAUGUAGCAAACAUUAAUUUAUCAUUAUUUUUUCAAUAUCUUGUUUUUUUAUCACUUACACCCUCCUAUAUUGCUUGGUUAGUAGGUAUUGUAUCUAUAGAUUUAUUGUUAUUAUGUUGGUGAAUAUGGGUAUCAGUUUGUUUAUGGCAUAUUGAGAUAAUUUUUAAGGUAUAUAAGUGUGCUUUUUUUUUUAUUUAUUUAAAGCUACAGAGGAUUCAAGGUAGAAGUAGGCAUUGUUUCUAUAGUAUUCCUUAAAGUACACAUUGAUACGAUUAAUUCUCAUGAAAAUUUACAUCAGAAUAGAACAUAAAAUUUAUUGUUUUGGAUUUACUACUGAAAUGAAAGCAUUGAUGUAGACAAGGCCACACAUUUUGAACUGUAAAAUCUUUAAUGAUUCAAUCGUAUAUAUUUUCAUACCACAUUAAAUUCGAGAUUAAAUUCUAUCAGAUCAAGAGCAUUUAAGUUAGUAAAAUCCUUCCAAUAAGUUCGCUUCCUAAAAUUUUGUCGUGUAUAAUUAAAUUAAUCUUUAAGUAUAUAUUAAAACAUGUCUUUUUCUUUUUUACACAAUACUUAAAAUUACUUAUAGUCUCUCCCCAACCCAUAAAUAGGAGGAUAAUGCGUUUCAGUAUACUCGAAUACACAUCCUCUUGCAUUGGCAACAAUACUCAUAUCAAUCGAGUUAAGACUCAAUCGACAAUUAUUUUUUACCUGUUCAAAACAUCUAAAUCAAAUAAAGAAAGAAAAAAAUUGUAAAUAGUGAUUGGAUUGAUAUUUUUUUUUUCUUCUGUUAAAAGAAAAGCUACAUUGAUUAAACUAUUUGAUUCCCCUAAUCCAAAAAGAAUACUAUUGUUGAUUGUGGUGGAAAAACCAGUCAAGCACUUGAUUUAAUUAUCACCAAUCACUUUCUUAAUCAAUUAAUUUAUUAUCUUCAAAUCUAUUGCAUUUGAGAAUAAUAUUUUUUAUAUUAUUAAUUUACAAUUUUUUUUGAAAGCUCUAGGUGGUGGGAAUCAUUAAAUUUUUUUUUUCCAUGCAUGUUAGUAGGGUUUCUUUCUUUUUCUUUUUUGGUUUUUUUUAAACAUAACAUUGCCACUUAUUAUUAUUUUGUUGCUUUCGAGUUCAUUGCUUUUUUAAAUUUGCAUGCAAAGCUACAUCUCGUAAAUGAGGAACAAAAGAAUGAAGUUUUGUUUUAAUUAAGAUUUAAGAUACUUGUACAAAGGUAAAUUUAAAAAAAUUCAUCUACAUUUAUGAACAUAUAUAUAUAUAUAUAUUAAUUAAUCCCAAAAGCAUGGUACUCAAGUACAUUAUUUUAGAAAGGAGAGAAAAUCUAAAGUUGUAACUUUAGAUCACCUCAAAUUGGCUUUUGUAUUGAUUCAAAAUGAAAUAUUAUAUUGAUGUUGGAAUACUAAACAAUUAGUCAUGAUAGUAAAUAAUUUGUGUUAAUUUUCAAUGAUAGUUGAUAUUAUUAAGUUUAGUAUAUAAACACGGGCGAAGUCAUAAAAUUUUUUUAAGGGGUCGAAAUUAAAUUAUAAUUUUUAUGAUAGUAAAAAAUAUAUAAUUUCAUCAUUUUAAGAGGUUAUAUCUUUAUAAUUUUUAAAAGAUUAAAUUAAAAUUUUAUUAUUUUUAAGGGUCUAAAUAAAAAAAUUUCUAUUGUAGGAGGGCCAAGGGCCUUGCUAGCCCCCUAGCUAUGCUCUGGGUAUAGGUGAAGUCAAGAUACGUAGAGUUUUGGUCCCCUUAUUAAACGAGAAAAAAAAUUUAAUUGUUUAAUUUAAACUUUUUAGUUAUUCGAAUAAAUGAAAAAAAUGGUAUUUUUUAUCCUUUCUAAAAAUUAAUUAUAUAAACUAAACCUUUUUAAAAUAAAAAAUUAGCACCCUUCAAAAUUUUAGAAAUUUAUCUCGUAUCCAUAGACAAUUCGUCCUUGGUUUAAGAUUUAAACAUAGUAUCCCUUUCCAAGGGUGAGCAACCGAUUAAUUUAAUCAGUUUGAUUUUUCUUUUCAAGUUAACUGGUUUAACUUACCAUCAUAUACAAUAAUUGAACCAAUUAACUUAUAUGAAUAAACUACCUAAUUGAAUUGACUUAACAUUAGUUGGUUUGACCAAUUAAUCAAUUUAGCAUUCAUCGGUUAAUUGCCUUAUUUAAAAUAAAUUUUUAAAAUCAAGUAUUAAGUCAAUCAGUUCAAUUAUGAGAUUCAAUAACUAUUAACCAAUCAACAUAAUUAAAUAAAUAAAUCCUACAACUAAUUUAACCACUAAAGUCAUUUAAACUAAAAUUAACUGAUUUACUUUUCACUAUCCAUACCCUUCUUAACCAAAAAGUAUAUAUAUAUAUAUAUAUAUUUAUGCUACAUAAAAUUAUUACAUUUAUUAAUCAAAUCAUGAAUGGCUAACCCAUUAAUUAAUUGAAUUGCCAUCAAAUGAAUGUUACAUUUCUUAAUUGAAUUUUUCUUAAAAAUGAGAAAAAUGCAAAUGGGUUCAUUGUUAGAUUUAUGUGACCAAAAUUCUUGUUAAAAGAAAUAAAGUGGUAAAAUUAAGGGACCAUAUGGUAUAAGUAGAAUCCGUAUAGAACUACACUUUGUCUAUUUAACAUUAAUUAGAAUAAGAUUUUUCAACAUUUAAAUAAAUGUAGUCGAAAUUCAGUUUUCAACAUUAGUAAAUUUCUCCUCCUCUAUUCGUAAUUUUUUUUUACUCGAAAAGGUUUUCCUGCAAAAUCCGUGGGUUUUAUUUUUCUUUUUACUUUGUAACCGUUCUAUAUUACCAUUAUCUACGUUAGUUUUAACACAAAGAAAAAACUUUGACACAACAAAGAUAUAUUAUCAAAUAAAUAAAUUUAUAUUAAUCACAUUACAUUAUUUUAUAAAUAAACAAACAUUAAAUUUUUUUUAUAAAAUUUUAAAAAUAAAUACAGCCAGCAUUGUUUUGUUAAUACGUCAUUGACAUUAUAUUAAUUUAUACAAUUUUUAUUUAAUGCAAUAAUGUAUAAAUAUACAAUCAAUAAAUCACAUAGUACACCAAACAUAAAAUUUCAUCAUUUAUUUUCUUAAAAAAAAAAUAAAGAAUUAAUAAUAAGUUUAAUUAGCAAAGAGGGAACUAACAUCAAGGGAAGACACAUUGUUUGAAAUGGACAAAUCUAUGUCUGUGUUGGGAACCUCUCCUCUCAUGCCUUAUUGGGCAUAUCGUCAUUAUUUUUAAUGUUUUUGAAGUAUUAACAAAUUCCAAUGUCCAAUUUUAUGUCAAAAAAAAAUUGUUGUUAUCAUGGCAUCCUAUAUUCUAUGAUCUUGUGUUUUUUUUUUAAAUUUAUAAUCAAGUUUUAAAUGUAUAUAUAUUUAUAUAAAUUUUAACAUAAUUUUUUACAAAUAUAAUCAAAUUGAUUAAUUAUUACAAAGUAUAAAAUAAAUAUAAUUUAACCACAAUACUUUUGAACACGAUUCACACGUGACAAGAUUUAAAAUCAUUACAAAUCUAUUGAUUAAUUAUUAUAAAACGUAAAACGAACAUAAUUUAAAUCAUAAUACUUUUAAACACAAUUCAUAUAUAGUAAAAAAAAUAAAAUCUAGCCAAAACCCAAAAUGUUAACUUAAAUCAUAUACCCAAGGUCUUAUUGACCACGCUCAUUCAAGUUAACAAAAAAUGAGUAUUUUUUUUUUUGCCGAUUGAAUCUUAACUCGAUUGGCAUAGACAUUAUUAUCAACGCAGGAGGACGUGAGUUCAAAUGUGCUGAAGCACAUUCUCCUUCUAUUUAUGGGUUAGAGAGGAGAUAUAAAUAACUUUAGGUAUUGUGUUAAAAAAAUAUGAUUAGAACUUAUAAUAAUAUUAUUAAAAAAUAUUUCUUUUUAAUUUAAAAUAAAAACAAUUUUAAAUUAAAAUGGUUGGGAAAAAGGAAGGGUAAAAAAGAAGGGAGGAAAUUAAAGGUAAGUGGGAGAGUUGGAAAUUACGACUAUGAAAAAACACUUUAUGAAUAAAAAUUUAUUAAAAGCAAAAGUGUUUGACAAAAAGACAAAUAGAUUCUGGUUUUUGCUUCAUUCCCCGAUGCGAAACAAACACAACACCCCCCAUCAUUUUUAUCAAUUUUCUCAAUUUUUGUGUUUUUUAUUUUCCUAAUAUCCAAUUCCCUAUUUUCUUUUCUUUUUUCUCAUAAAAUAUUAUACUUUUAUUAAAUUUUUCAACCUUUUUAAUAAUUUUAAUAUAAAUUUUAACAUUUUUUUAACAAUUUUAUUAUAAGUUUUGAUCAUAUCAAUUUUUUUGACACAGUAAUUAAAACUAUCUAUAGCCUUUCUCCAACUUAAAAAAAAGAGAACAAUGUGUUUCAAUACACUUGAACACACGUCUUCCUAUAUUGACAGUAAUACUCAUGUUAAUUGAACUAAUACUCAAUCAACAAAUUUUAACAUUUUUAUUAUUAUAUAGACUUGAUUUUAAGAUUAAAAAAUUUUUAAAAAAAAUUUAACUUUUAAAAGCCAUCAUGUAUCUAUUAUUUGAGUUUCACCAACAGUCUCAUUUAACUUCUAAAAAAGAAAAGUCAAUCGAAUAAUAGUUAGAUGGCUCAAUUUUACAUUCAGUUCAUAUAAAUAAUUUUUAAUUUUUAGGUAAAUAACAAUUGAAGUCACUCAAUUAUAGUUUUUUUCUUUUUUAAGUCACUCAAUUAUAAAAAAUUAUAAAAUAAUCAUUCAAUUAUUUAAUUUUUUUUUCUUUUUAUUCAUCAGUUGGCUACCGUAAAAUUAAAAAUAUUUAAAAAUUUAAGAUAGUUAAAUUACAAAAAAAAAUAGUUAAGUGAUCAUUUUAUAAUUUUUUAUAAUUUAAAGAUAAAAAAAUUAUAAUGGAGUGGAUAUCAAUAUAAUUUAUCCUUAAAUUAAUUAAAUCAAGGAAAAAAAAAACCAACAUCAAAACCAAAACAACAAAAAAAGAGAGGGACACACUCCCAACAUCCACACGAGCGGUUCUCCAGUUGCAUGCAAAGCCCCAGCCUGUAUUCUAUUUUAUUUAUUUAUUUAUUUAUUUCCCAUUUUUGUAAUAAAAAAAAAUUCAAUCCCCUUCAACCCCUCCGCCCUACCCCUGGACCCAUUUUCCAUUGCCUUUUUAAGCUCAAGAACUAAGACCAUAAGGAAAUGUAAAAAAAAAGUGAAACAAAAUCAAGAACCGUGUCCUCUCUUCUAUUCUUCCUUUUCUUCCUUUGAUUUUCAACAGAUCCCUUUGUUUUGUUUUUUCUUUUCUCAGACAUUCAUCUCUAAUGGUUGAGGCUUGAAAAGUGAUAAGCUUAGCUUCUUUGAUCUUUGAUCAUCUGUUUUUUGUUUUUUGUUUUGGGUUUUUGUUUUCUGGGUUUGUCCUGGUUUUUUUUUAUAUAUAUAACAAUGAGUCCUCUAAAUCUAAGCGAUGAUUUUAACUGCUACAAUGGUGGUGAGGUUCAAGAGAGGAACUUUUUAUCACUCCCUUCGAUUUUUCCUCAUCAAAUAGGGAGAGUUGCCAAAAACUCUGAAAUGGGGUUUCAGAUUCCAACCUCUUUAAUGGAACAAAGCAAUAAAAGUUUGAACUUUGAUCCAUUUCAAACCAGGGGAGCCGAUGGAUUUGUUGCUGCUGGUGAUGGAAAAUCUGGGUUUUUGGGUGUUGAAAAAAAGGGUCUUUCUUUGAAUUUAAGUGUUGAAAAUGAAAGUAAUAAAAACCCCGGUGGUAGUGUCAAAAAUGGACACACCAAGCUUUGUUCCAGAGGUCAUUGGAGACCAGCUGAAGAUGCUAGAUUAAAAGAGCUUGUUGCUCAAUAUGGUCCUCAAAAUUGGAACUUGAUAGCUGAACAUCUUGAAGGAAGAUCAGGUCUUUCAUUGAUGUUCGCUAUAAAAGUUGUAUCUUGUUAGUUUCACAAGUGUUUGAUCUUAUUCCUAAAUGACAUCUCUUUUUUUUUUUUCAGGGAAAAGUUGUAGAUUAAGAUGGUUUAACCAGCUAGAUCCAAGAAUCAAUAGGAAAGCUUUCAGUGAAGAAGAAGAAGAGAGACUCUUAACAGCACAUAAAGUAUAUGGUAACAAAUGGGCAUUGAUUGCUAGAUUGUUCCCUGGUAGAACAGAUAAUGCAGUUAAAAAUCAUUGGCAUGUGAUAAUGGCAAGGAAACAUAGAGAGCAAUCAAGCAUUUACAGAAGGAGAAAACCAUCAUCAUCAACAUCAUCAACUUCUUUCCCUAAAGGAUUGGAUUUGACUGUUCGAAACAAUGCUAGCAGUGACCAAUCCACCAUUUCAUGCAGCAACUCAACCAGUACUGAUCUAGCCCUUACUCCUUCAUCAACAAAAAAAGGAGUACCACCCCAUCAAAAUUUCACCGCUUUUAGUGGUGUUCAUCAAAAGGGUAUGUAUGUUUUUUAACUUUUUUUUUUCCCUUGAACUGAUCACUUUUAUUUUCAGUUUUUUUACAUAUGAAAGAAAAUGAUUUGCAGGUGAAAAAGUGAAAGUGGGGAGCAGUGGAAAUGGUGAUUUUGGCAAAUAUGGUUCCCAACAAAGACCAAUGGGAGUGGUUAUGGGUGUGGACCAAUAUGCUAACUCAUCAGAUUCUAACUCAGAAAUUUCAGCAACUGAGUCAGUGGGAACGAAUAGGACCAACCACUCCCAAACUGCAAUUGGAGAUGACAAGAUCAACAUGCACUUCAUUGAUUUCCUUGGAGUUGGAGCUUCUUAAAACACCAACCAUUAGUUUUUUUUUUUUAAUCUAUUUUUUGGGUUUUUUUUUUCUUUUUGUUAAACUUGAAAGUAGAGAAAUCCAGCUGAAAACAGAAGAGGAAAAAGGAGCAAAUUGAGUCCAUUGGGCAAAAAAAAAAAAAUGUUAUGCUUCUGCAGUUGGUUCAUCAUUUUUAUAAUUUUUGUAUAUACAGUUUAGUCCCAUAUAUAUACAUCUUUAUAUAUAAUAUAUAUAAAUAGUUUUUAAGAAGAUGAAAAUAGAGAAGAAGAUGACCGAUUACUUAAAUUAUGGACAUCGCUAUUAUCACAAUCAUGAAUUUCUUUUUCACAAUUUUACUAUCAAAUAUUUAUUAUAUCACACAUGUAUAUAUAUAUAGAAACCAUUUAUUUACAUUAUGUGUAUAUUUAAAAAUAAAACUCAAUAAAUAAUUAAACAUGUAUAUUACAACAUAAUGCGGUGAUAAAAUUAGAUAAUAGUAUAGAUAUACAGAAGAAUAUUACUUGAUGAUUUAAGUUCAAAUCUCAUUAUCUAAGACUUGUUUGGAACAUUUUUUAAAGCUCUCAUCUAGUACCGAAUGAUACGGAAUCAAAUAAUGUCGUCCCUCUUUCCCUCCCUUAACAUUUUAAUGAUAAAAAGGGAACAAAUCACAUCAAUUGCAUAUUUUUUAUAAUUUUUUGUAUAAAGGUAUGAAAAUACACACACACAAAAAAAAAAAACACCCUACAAUAAUAUUUAUCAAUCAUUUAAGAUUCGGGUUUUUAGUAUUUUCUCUAAUUGAGUUUAUGUCGAGUUAAUUCGUGACACUAACUUAGUCACGUACUUAAAAAAUAGUAUAGAUAUAUAAAAUUAAUUGCAUCAAACAUCUCCAAACUAUUGAUCAAAUUCUAAAUCAAUCAUUGACUUUUAAAAUAUUCUAAUUUAAUCCUUAAAUUAAAGUAUCGUUCCAAUUAAGUUCUUUUGUUAAUCUAGUCUCUAAUUUUGGCAUUAAAUGGUAGUUUUGAUCUAAAGUAUUUAAAAAUAUUUAUUGAUUUAUAUGUGUUUAAAAAUUAAAUUAGGUUAGGUCUACAUUGACAUUUAAUAUUAAAGUUAACCGCCGUAAUGAAUCAAGGAUAUAAUUGAAAAAAUAUUUUAGUUUGAGGAUUCAAUUAAAUAUUUCAAAGUUUAUGAAUUAAUUUAAAAUUUGAUUCGAGGACGUGUAAUACAAAUUGUUCUAGUUUAUAAGUAAAAUUAUAAGAGUUAUAAAUAUAAGCAUAUGUUCGAUUUUUACCAUAAUAUCAAUAUAUUAAUGGCUUAAUACAUCACUUAAUGCUUAAGUUUGACAUUUUUUUUAACGAGGUAUUUGGGGUUUUUUUUUCAAUGUGAUACUUGUAUUUAGAAAAAGUUAUAUAUUUCGGUACCCAAAAAUAUAUUUGAAUUUUAUUUAUUUUUGUGUUUAAUUUGUUAAAUACAGAUGAGUUGUGAUUUUGUUCAGGUUUUAGAGUUGAUUUAAUAAAAAGUUAAUUGUUAAUAUUAUUAGUUAAUUAUGAUUUUUCAUCAAAUUAAAUCUAAAACCCAAAUUAAGGACUAAAAAUUAAUACAAUUAUCUUUGAGUACCAAAAUGUAUAACUUUAUCAAAUAUAAGUAUCACAUUGGCCCAAGAAACGCAAAUAUGACAAUAAAAAAAUUUGAACUCGAGUAAAAAAUAAUAUAUUAAACCAAUAUUAACAUAUUUUCAUCUGAAUUGUUAAAAGUGUAGGGGUAAUCUUUUAUUUAAGGCAUCAUCUAUUAAUCAAACUGUUAAGCCUAUUUUUAAAAAAUAUUUAACCCACAAAUUACUACCUAAACUAUUGCCUUUUUCUAAGUUGAUACCUAAACUUUUUUUUUUUUGUCACAAGUGAGACCUAAUCUAAUAUUUAGCCACCAUUUACACAAAAAUGUUAAAUUCGUUAAGAAAAUUCCAACUAAUAAUAAGCUACCAUGUCAUAUAAACUUUAAAAAAUAUUUUUUAAUUAUUUUAUUUUCAUUUUUUAUUUUAUAUUAUUUCUCUUUUUAUUUUUAUUUUUCUAUUUUUUUUCUCUUCUUCCUUUAUAAUAUUUGGCAAUGUCAACAAUACUUGAAAUUUUCUCUCCCAAUAUCGAGAUAUGGGCAAUUAGUUAUGUUUUUGUACUUCACCGCCUACUUAACUUGACAAGAUCUAAAAAGUUCUUUCAUUAGUCAAAACUAAUGUUUCAGAAUUUGACUGAAUCAGCUGAUUGGAUUGAGAACCAACCUAGGUAUUUGUUUAUGGGAUAAGGGUUGAACCAAUUGACCCGUGAACUAAUAUAAACCAAUUAAAUCGAGCUGAAAAAUUGGUUGAAUCAAUUUUCUCUAUUUUAAAUAAUUUUAUUUUUUAUAUUUUUAAUAAUUUAUUUGAUUGAACUAGGCAAACCAAUCAACUUGAAAAUUAGUGGCCUAAUCGAUUCGGCCAUCAAUCCAAAUCUAAACGUUAAUCAAAACCAUGAAGUCAAAAUAUUCACACAUGUAGAAGAAGCUCAAAAUGAGAGGAAGAAAAUAUAUAUAUAUAUAUAUAAAGUAAAUGAAAUAUACAUAUAUACAUAGUGAGAAUAAUAUUUUUUUGUUCUUUUUUUGGUCACAUGAUAACUUUUAAUUGAUUAUCUUUUUUUUAAAUAGACUUAAUUAUUUGAUUAGCGGUUGAAUUAAUAGAGUUAUCAACUUGGGAAGAAAAGUAAUUUAGGUACUUAUGACAAAAAAAAAUGUUUAAGUACCAAAAUAGGAAAAAAAUGACAUAGUUUUGGUAUUAAUUUAUAGGUUAAAUCUUAUUUUUAUGAAAAUAGAAUUAACGGUUUGAGCAAUGAAGGUAUCAACUUGAGGGAAAAAAUAGUUUAGCUACCACUUAUGAUAAAAAAAAUGUUUAGAUAUUAAAAUAGAAAAACGGGUAUAGUUUAGAUACCAGUUUGUAAGUUAAGCCUUUUUUUUAAUUAACAAUUUAAUUAAUAAAAAUACUAACUCGAUAAAAAAAAUUUAAAUACCACUUAUGAUAAAAAAAAAUUAAAUAUUAAAAAAAAUAUAUAAUUUAAUUACUAAUUUGUGAGGUAACCGUUGACUUAAUUCAAUAUCGAGUUUAUUUUUAUGUUUCUCAUCCUCCUCUCACUUUAUAUUCAGUUUUGUUUAAAAAAUUAACAUAAAAACUUACAUAGAAAAGGAAAAAAAAAAAAAAGCAGCAAGCAGGGCCCUAGCUCCCCAGAAAUUGAAAAAAAAAGGUUUUUUUACCCUUUAUAAAUGUUAAAUUGUACUUUGUCCCAAAAUGAUUUGAAAUUUUAAUUUAGCCAAUUAAAAAAUUAUAAAAAUAUUAAUUAAUACAACAACGAAAUUAUAUUUUAACUCUUAUUAAAAUUUAUAACUUAACUUCAACGUACGUUAGAUGUAUUCCCACAAUAUGUGCUUAUCUUGCUAUGAAAUUGAGUGAUAGAGACUCCGUUGAGCGAUGAUUAGAAGGAUCUUAUCUUUGUAGAUGACCCUCUCUUACGGGACAUAUGAAUUCGUUAAGUGUAAGUAUAACAAUGACUUGUUUCCAAUUAAUUUUUUUUUUUUUUUUGUUUUUUGUUUGUGACAGAACAGUCAAAAGGAAGAAAAAACAUCCAAAGUUUGUGUGUUGAAUGAAUUGAAUCUACCCAUUUUCAGUAACAGUACUUUGUCAAUAUGAUUUUCUUUGACCAUGUUUUACACAAGCUCUUAUUCCUACCCAGUGGCAAUUACUUCCAUCAAUUUUCUUUUCUUUUCUUUUCCUUUCUUUUCCCUUUAGCCAAUCAGGUUGAGAUGUGUGGUUAAUUAAGCCAGGACCACAUUGAUGAAACAUCAAACAUUAUUUUAUGGCUACAUCGAAAUGGGGUCUACAAAUCUGACAUCCCUCAAUGUUUCUAUUAUAUGGAUAAAUUUAUUUCAUACAUUCACUUUACAAUUUUUUUUUUAACUUUUACAAAAAAAAAAUUAAAAAAACCCUCAUUGCUAUUUAAAAAUAAAUAAAUUAAUUAAAUAGAUUAUUUUUAAUUUUAUUUGUAAAUUUAAAAAACCUAACAUUAAUUAUGUCGAUUGAGUCUUAAUUCAAUUAAGAUGAACAUUAUUUUCAAUAUAAAAAAACGUGAAUUCAAGUAUACUGAAACGCAUUAUUUUAAUUAUUGUGUUAAAAAGGAGCAGAUAUGAUUAGAACUCAUAAUGAGUUUGUUAAAAAAAAUCAUUAAAUUUUACAAAAUAAACUAAAUAUUUUUACCAAAUGAGUAAAACUUGGAAAUUUUUAAGUUGAGGGAUUUAAGUUUAUUAAUUUUUAAUAAAUAAUUAACUUCAAAAUUUAUUUUUAUAUUUAUAAAUUUAACUUAUUUUUUUAAAAUUAAUAAAAACCAACUACUCACUUAGAAGAAAUUUUAUUUUUAAACUUUUAACUUAUUUUAAAAUAAUAAAAAAUAUUUCUUUUCACAUAGUAAAUGUGAUGAAUUAUAUUUUGGGUCUGAAUAUGGAAUUUUAAAAAUGGGCUAGAUUUUGGUCAUUGCAUCAAACUAAAUCCAUCAAAUGGGCUUUAACCAAGUGGGCUUUUGCCUCCCUAUGCAAGGGCCUAUAAAAACCAAUCUUAAAAAUUAAAAUCUAUACUAUCCUUCUAUUAUAUUAUUAAAAAUAUUAAAGUAAUAAUAAAUAGAGAAUGUCAUUGUAAUAUUAAAAUGGAUUUUGUAUUUAUAUUAAUUAUCACUUAAUUAAGAUUUAGCGUUAUAACUAAAUGCAUUGACAUAAAACAUUUACGCAUUUUCAUGCAAGAAGUAUCUAAAGAGAAGAUUGAAUUUUUUUUACUUUUUAGUGUUAUUGAUAGGUUUUGCUUCCAUCACACACACACACACGCACAAAAAAAAUUUCAUUAUUACUUGAUAUAUUAUGCCUAUUAACUAAUAAUUAUUUAUAUUAAAUGCGGAUUAUUAGUAUUGAUAAAUUUAGACAUAUCUACAAAAUAGAGUGCUAAAGUAAUAUUUUCUUCGAAAUAUUAAAUCAUAUUGAAAUGAAAAUCGCAGUGCCCAGGGGUGAAGGCACAAAAAUUUUUUAGGAGGUCGAAUGAAAUUUUAAUUUUUAAUAGUUUAUAUCUUUAUAAUUUGUAAAGGAUUAAAUCAAAUUUUUAUAAUUUUAGGGGGCCAAAGUGUAAUUUUACCUUUAUUAAUUUAAAAUUUUUAAAAAAUUUUAGGAGCCUAAAAUAUAAUUUUACAUUUUAGGGGGGGCGGGGCCCAUGCCAGUCCCCUGGCUUCGCCCCUGGCAGUGCCGGUGGUUGUUGGAUUAGCUAAGAAGCUUUUGCUUCUCUUUCUAACUCUAAAUUGGAAAUGCUAACCUCCUUUCUUUGUUUGUAAGUACUUAUCUUUAACAUGGGAAUUGAGAGGGCUAGCAAAUGACCUGACAAUGUACUAUGGAGGAUUUAGGACUAACUUGAAAAUUUUGUAAAACAUUUAAGGAUAUUUUGUAAUUUUAUAAAAAAUAAUGCCCAAUUUGAAAAUAUUGUAAAACUAGGGAAUUUAUUAUAUUUUUAAAUUUUAAAUUUUUAUAAUUUUUAUAAUAAAUAACAUUCAAUUGUAAUAUAAUAUAUUUAAAAUAAAAAUAAACAUAGGCCUAAAAGUUUUAUUAUCCACAAAAUAGCUCAAACUCAAAUUAAUGUCAUUCAACCUUAGCAACCAAAGCCCAAAUUUAAAUAAUGUCCAAAAUUUUACUUGUAAAUUCAAAGUAAUUUAUCCCAAAACAAUCAUAUAUUCAUUCAAAAUGCAAAUAUAAUCAAAUUUGUUACAAUCUAAAUUAAUGAACUCUAAUGAAAUUAGAUGCCUAUAACAACUUUAUGAAAAAAAAGAAGCUAUAGUUGAGUGACUUACAAAAAUCCUAAGUAAUUUAGCAGUUUCUUUGUUAAUGGAUGGCUUGUUUAAAUACAUAACCAAACAUCCUUCUGUUAAUCCAGUGAUCUAGAAAUUCUACUUUUGUUUAACCUGUUUCUCUCGGAAUGAUUCUAGUCAUUCAUCCCUGCAAACGAACUAAUCUCUCCCUCUAGGAAGAUCUUGUCCACCUAUCUUUGUGAAAAGGCCACCCACUCUUUUAAAGUGCUUGCUUUUCUGGUGUGAACACUCUUCCUAUGAAUUUACCUUUUAGGUCACUGAACCCGACCUAAACAUAACAACCUUGUACCACAUCAACACUUUCAAGCACAAGACCUCCACUAUAUAUACCCUUCAGCAGCACGAUGAAGAAGGGAUUGACCCUUGAGCAUAUACAACAACCUAAUAGCCCUCAACUUUGUCCUUUGUUCCCUCAACUUCUUUCCUAUUUACUUGGCAUACCUCUUCUAGCUCUCCACCCUGCUAGGGUGAAUUGACUUUCCUCAGCACCACAGCAUUGUAACACCCCCUAACCUCGAACCGUUGCCGAAACAAAGUUACGAGGCAUUACCAGACGUAUCAGACAACUUAUGAAUAAUUCACAAAUAAAAUAAUAUUCAUAGCAUAAUUUAAUUACUAAAUCCCUAUAUUGAACUAUUCAAAUCUAAAUCAUACAUUUAAGUAAAACGGGACUCGUUUCAGUACUCCAAUUUUAUUAUUAUUAUUUUAUAAAUUUUGACAGCAUUUCUGCUUAUUUUUACAUAAAACCCCCUGCAAUUAAACCAUAUUCAUUUCAAACAUAACCAAUUCAACCAAUUUAUUUCACACAUUCAUUUUCUAUUUUAAAUGCCUUCUAAUCAACUUAAUCAAUAUAAUAUCAAUUUAAAAUUAUCAUUGUACUAAUUAAAUUGAAAUGGAUAGACUUUUUCAUUAUAAUUCUUAGACUUGCAAUACUAAUAUUUUAAACCAUUUAUAUUCAAAACAUAAUAACCUUUAUAUACAUCCUAUGUACAUGCCACAUUACCAAAAGAAAAUAUACAUCACCAAAAGUUUGCUAAAUUCGGGUCUAGCUUUGGAUGCUAGUUCAGUACUUGACUUCUACAACCUGCGCACGGAAAUAACCGUACGCUGAGUAUGCAUAUACUCAGUGGUAUCACUAUAAUUCAGUUUAUAAUUAAAUACAUUAAAUCACACACAUACUUUUACAUUACAAUUAUCAUCACUUAAUGAACAAUUCAAUCUUUUUAUAUUAUCAUUCGAUUAUAUAUAUAUCAUUCUUAUUUCUUUAUUUCAAUUCUCAACUUUCACAUAUACUAUAUCAUUCAAAUUUAGUUUUAUCAGUAAAUUUAUUUCAUUUGUCCCUAUUAACUUGACUUGGACUCGGCGGAUACACGGAUUCCAACCAACACACCAGUACGGCACAAUGUGCCUUAACGGUACACAAUACCUAAUCAGUAAUCAGUAACGGUAGCAGUAGCAGUAACAGUAACAGUAUUCAACACACAAAGUGCUGAAUCUGUAACAGUAACGGUAACAGUAUUCGACACACAAAGUGUCGAAUCGAUAACAGUAACGGUAACAGUAACAGUAGUCGGCACAUAAGUGCCUGAUCAGUAAGCCGGAAAAAACCCGUACUCUUCCAUAUCCUAUGGCAUGCCAACUAUAUCCGACUAGCCCGACUAGUUAAUAGGGUAUUUAAAUCAUUUUUCAGUACAAUUUCCAUUUCGAUUCAAUAUUAAUUAUAAUUUAUUAUUUUGAUCAAUUUUCACAGUAAUUCAGUAAUUCACUUCAUUAGAAAUUUUACAGUUCAAUGCAAUAUACUAACAUUAUUCAGUAAUUUCACAGUUCAAUUCAGUAUUCAAAACAAUAUUCAGUAUCCCAUAAUUCAGUUCAGUAUCAAUCUCAAUUUUAAUACCCAAUCACAAAUUUUAUCAGUUCAUUAAAUACUUACCUUAAAAAUACUUACCACACAUUCAUAUUAAAUUAAACACAUAUUAAUUAUAAAGUUUUAGUUAUAGUGAUACAAACCAGAAUUCUCUUCGGAUUUAAUCCUCGACGAUCUUUCCUUUUCCUUUUUGGGCCGAUGCUUCAGGCUCGAUAUCAGCUACGAACAAUUAAAAUAAUUUCACAAUUAUUAGCAUAACACAAUUUAAACGCUGAAAUUUUUAUCUAACUUUUACUUUAAUUCCAAUUUAAUCCCAACUAAACCUAUAUAUUUUUCUUUCUCAAUUCAUACCUUUUUGCUACUCAAUUUCUUGCCAAACCCACAUCUAACUAUUUAAUUUUUAUCAUAUUUUCAUAAUUUCGAAUUUAUUUCAAUUUAAUCCCUAAAACUCAAAACUUAUAACUUAGUUUACAAUUCAAUCCUUUAUUCAAUUCUAACUUAAAAUUUAUUCAAUUAAAUCCCUAAUUCAUUAUUUUGGUCAACAUGAACUAUGUUCAAGAACCUAAAAACUUUCAAAACCUUAACUUAAUUUCAACAAAACUUUGUUCUAAAGCUUCUAAAACAUCAAAUUUAACUAAAAAGGACUUAAUUAACUUACCAAUCAAAGUUUCAAGCUUCAAAUCUCUAGUUUUUCCUUUUUCUUUUUCUUUCUCUUUUUCUUCCCUUUUUCGAAUGUUUCUGUUUUCUAUUCUGUUUGUUUAGUUUCUAUUUAUUUUAUGAUUUAUCUUUUUUUUUACUUUAUUUAAUUUAUAUUAUAUUUAAUUAAUAAAUAUCUAUUUAAUAGCAAUUAUAUAUAUAACAAUUGUACACGCACAUGUUUUAUAUUUUUCCAAUAUCACCGCCCUACAUUUGUCAUAAUUUUAUUUAAUUAUCACAUAAAAAUCUUAUUUUAUAAUUAUUCAAUUAAUAAAUAUCUCUUAAUUAUAAUAAUAAUAAUAAAUAGUAAAUAUCUACUAAUUUAAAUAAAAUAUUAUAAUUGUAUAAAUAUUAUCAUUACAUAUGUAUAUUUUUAUCACCUUACCCUUGUCAUAAUCAUACUUUAUUUAACAUAUAAAAAAAAUCUUAUGAUAUAAUUAUUUAAUUAUCAAUAAUUUAAUUUAAUCUAAUUAUCUAUUACUUUAAUAUUAAGUAAACAAAUUAUUUUAUAACAAGUACACAUGUAUCUAUUUAUUACAAAUAUACCAAUAUUUUUAUUACUAUACAAUUCUCUACUAUUUAAUUUAUUUAAUACUACUACUAAUAAUAAUAUAAAACCAUAACAAUUAAUAAUUAUAAUAAUCAAUUAUACAAUAUUAUAUAAUAUAUAUAAUCUAAAUAAAAUCUUAGAUUUUUUUAAUACAUUUAUGUCGCCUCAACCAUUACUUAAUGGCAUAUUUUCCAUUUUGACCCUUUUUACUUUCUAUUGUUUUAGAAUUAAACUUUUACCUCUUAUGCAAUUUAAUCCUUUUCGCUAAUUACUCUAAAUUAAGCUAAAUUUACUUAAUUAAAACCUAAUUAGACACACCACUAGGCUUAUAAAUAUUUUUAAUAAUUAUUUUCGAACUUAUUUCACUAGAUGGAGGCCCGAUAACACACUUUUCCAGUGCCCACGGAUUUUGGGUCGUUACAAGCAUCCUCCUAUUUAUCUCCUCCCUUGUUGAUACCCUCAUCAACAGACUCUAACUAUGAUGUGUGUACAAGUACGGCACUUUUAUACACGGGGGAGGUUAGGGAAUAAGAAUACCCUUCAAGUAUGAAGGAAAGGAAAAGAAGAAGAAGAAUAGUUAAGAGAACAAUUAAUAUCUCGGGUUGCUUUUAUCAUGUUAUCUUUUUUAUAUACAAAUGAAGGCUUACAAGAAUUUUAAACUAGCUAACAAACUCUAACUAACAACUACAACAGACUUAAUAUUUUCUUCUUUAAGUUUUCAUAUAUAAAUCUCUCAUUCUCAAAAUAAGCCUUAUCCUCAAAGAUGAAAACAUUAUAAUUUCAUUUGCAAACCACAUAAAAGUACGUUUAAGUGGGUGUGUAAACUAAACUACCAGUCAUACAUCUUCUUGGAGGUAAGAGUAUUUGUAGGAUUUGACAUAAAAUGAUGUUGCUUCUUGAAUUUUGUCUGAUUUUAUGACUAUAAUCCUUGUGUAGUGGUUUGCAAAUUAUAACUUUGUGAAGUCUUAACAUUUGCAACUUUCUUUGCUUCAAUUUUGUAGCAAUAGUAAUUUCAUAAAAGAAACCUUCCAUCUCAAUGAUCCCAAAUGGCAACAAUUUUGCAUGUUUGCACAUAUGGUAAAAAUCAUAUUCUUUUUUAAACCAUAGAACAAACCUUUGAGCUUUUUCACAUCAAAGUUUGUAUUGCUUUUGUUUCAAUAAAUUUAUCUAAUAAUUAUAUGUUUUAAAAUAUUUGAAGAAUUAAGAGAGGAGUUUGAUAGUAAAUUUUAAUUUCUUGAACAAACUUGGGGAGUUGAGUGUGAGGCAUUAAAGGUGAGUAUGUAGGGUGAUAAUAGAUUUCCAGUGUAAUAUUUUUAUGGUUGAUUCUUGAAGUUGGGCAAUUGCAAAAGCAACUUGAAGAGUUUUAAGCUUGACAGCUUGACAGCUUGACAAAUUUUUAUAUAAUAUUCUCAAGCACAUUCAAGAGCCAAUUGGUUGCAUACUCUUCAUGUAAAUGUACCAAUCACAACAAGAAGGUAAAAUAGAUAAGAUAUUCAAGAACAAUACCUGUUUACUUGAGAUUUAGCGUCUUUAUCAUAUUUGUUGACGAUUAAAGCUUAAGAGAUCUUGUUUCAAAGUUGCUAAGACCUUUUUCUUAUUAACAUCUUACCUGUGUAAUGUUGUCGUUGUUUCCUUCAAUGAUUCUUUGAUGAAUUCUUCAAACUUUAAGUUUAAUAACCCGACAGUUUCAACCAUGGGAGGUGCCAAGUUCGGAGCUCUGAUACCAAUUGAUGCAUGUACAAAUACUGCACUCUUAUAUACAAAAAAGCUAGGGGAAAAGAACAACUCUCUAAGUAGAAGUAAAAAGGAAAAUAGGAAGAAAAGGAAUAAGAAUAUAAAAAGUUGAAAGAAAAGAUAGUUCAGAAGAAACAUUGGUAUUCUUAAUUGCUUUUAUUUUUAGUUAUCUUUUUUAUAUACAGAUGAAGGUUUACAAGACUCUACAAUUAGCUAACAUAUGCUAACAACUCCAGGAGACUUAGCAUUCACUUCUUUAAUUUCAGACACACACACACAAAUUGUUAUCUUUUCUCCACUAAUUUUUCUUUUUCACCUUUUAUUUCUUCAAAUCAGAAAUAAGUUUUAUAGAUUUGACAACAUAACUUCAUCGUCCACACAUAUAAUUCUCAACAAUCAUAAUAUUUCAUUGAAGAAAAGUAAAAUAUUAGCUUAAAACACUUAAAAAAUGCAUUCACUAAACUUUGUGGAUGAUAAAUUGAUCUCUAGAUUAGAGAAUCAACAUUAUAUAUGAUUUGAGGGAAACAAUGCAUGAUGCAUGAAUUAGAGUGUUAAACCCUAAUUAAAAACGUGAAGGGUAAAAAGUCUUUUACUUUUUAACGUGGAGAACAACAAUUUAUGACUAUGAUAGCCCACAAAAAGCUCUUUAAUCGGUGAAAAUUAUAGAAAAUCACAUCAAAGUUUCGAGAGUGAACGAACAAUACAUUAUGGAGGAGAAUGUUAAGAUUAUUGUGUCAUUAUAUUUUUUUUAAUCGAUGUUGUGAAUGGCAACUUAAACUAGGUCUAGGUUAACUACAAAUUUAAAUUAGAUUUUCAUUGUACACUAAGAGAUCUACCAUGUGCAUCACUUAAUUAUCAUAUUUUAUGGGAGAAUAAAAGGAUCAUAUGUACUUAUGCUACAACCAAUGAAUGACAAAAUCAGAUGAAACCCCCACUCUUUUUCUUUUUUUUUCCUUGUUUUCUUCGUGGUACCUUGAGAAACAAAACCACUAAUUUCUUUUUUUCAAUUUUGUGUAAUUAAAUUAAUUAUCUUUCUUGUUUGUGCACACAUGGUUUUUUAUACAAGUUGGUUUUAGAUGAAUAUUACCAUAUAAGGUAAGUUAUACCAGCUUUUCUUUUAUAUUAAAGUUUUGAUUAAAAUAUGAGAUAAGUCUUUGUAUUUUUUUUCAAAUUUGAAAUUUAGUCUUUGUAUUUUUUAAAUUUCGAGAUUUAGGUUCAAUGGUUAAUAUUGUUAAAGAUGAUUUUAUUAAAUUCAGGUUCAUUACAACGUAAUUUUUUUAGUUAUAUUGCUACCAAGUGAGUUUUAUAUAUAUAUAUUUAAAUUACCACACCAACAAAUUUAACAAAAAAAAUUUUAUCACCUCUAAUAAUUGGACUUGGAUUUUGAAAAUUGGAAAGUAGAGGGAUUAAAUUCUAAAUUUGGAAAGAGUAUAACGACCUAUGACAUAUUUUAACCUAAAAUUUACUAGAUUAUAACACAUUUAUGAUGUGGGUGAAAAAAUUUAUAUAAUAAAUAUAUUUGUUAAAAGUUAAUAUGAUGAUCAAAUUAAUUUUGAUUGAAGUGGUUAAGUUAAAUAUUUAAAAUACAUUAUGUCAUGCCGGUUCAGUUUUAACUCGAUUAGCAUGAGCAUUUGAGUUUGAGUGUGCUGAAACAUAUUAUCUUCCUAUUUAUAGGUUGGAGAAGGACUAUAAAUAAUAUUAAGCAUUAUAUCGAACAUUAAUUUAAUAAAAACUUAAUAUAAAUAUAUAGAGAUGAAAGUAACUAUCAAUUUCAUAUGAUGAAGCAUAACACAUUUGAAGAUUAUUAUACGUAAAAAAAUACAAACCCAAGAAAAAAUAAUGAUAAAAAUAAGAUCAACUAUAAAAAAGCAAGUAAAUAUGUGUAGAAAAAUCCAAGAAAAAUUGAAGAAGGCAUUUACAAAACACCCAUUGGAUUCCCCGAAGUAAGUUGACGAAUUGUUUCCUUUGUCAGCAAAAAAAAUAAAAUAAAAUAAAAAGAAUCUAAAAUUAAACAAAGAAAGGGCAAAAUUUCAUAAAUUCACAUGCCAGCCAAUAAUAAUUGAUAUUUAACUGGGGAAUUUUCACAUGGGGGAGAAUUUCUUAGUAAAUGUGCCCUAUAUAUUACGAUUUUCUCGAGAAAUUAAAUUAAACUUUUAACAAUUAAAAUAAAAAAUCGAACAUCCGUCUGCUUCAGAUUGGUUAUAUUGGUCGGUGUUGAAAGGCCAACUUGCUUUGCAUUAAUCAUUUCUUUUGCUUUGGAUUUUGGAUUUUUAUUUUAUUUUUUCACUUUCCAGUUGAUGGGGGAAUCCACGUACUGCCCAUGCAAUUUCUUUUUCACUAUUUCCUAAGAAUAUUGCUGAAAAAUAAAUGGGUUUUCUAGGUUAAAUUUAACCUUACUUUCCUGGAAAAUCUUAUGAAAAAACAACUGUAAUUUUUUGGUUCUUUUCUGGAAUGUUGCAGCUGGCUUUAUUACUGUUAUUAUUACUUAUUACCAACCAAACAUAACAAUCCUCGUUGCAACUUGCAACCAUUUAUUUUAUUUUCUUACUACUUUCUAAUAUAGUAUUGCAUUUUAGUUUUUAUAUCUUGUAUUUGUAUCGUAUUGUAUUCUAACUUUUUAUAUUUAGUUGAUGCUAUUUGGUUUCAUGUAUGUUCUAUAGUUUAUAUUCAGAGUCUGAAGUUACUUCUCCUAAUAAUGUAGUCUCCAAACAGGGGCGGAAGGAGGGGGCCGUUUGUCUCCCCUAAAACAUAAAAUUUAAUUUAACCCCCAAAAUAGUAAAAUUUUAUUUUAACUCUCAUAAAAAUAAUACAAUUUCAUUUUGCCCCUCAUAUUUUUUUGGCUUCACCCCUAUUUUCAAAGUUCGAACUUGUAUCUCACCUUAAGAAUGCAAUAUAUUUUACUAUUACAUCCAACACUUGUUAGUAAAAAUAAAAAAUAAAAACGUUAAUUAUUGUAUAAAAGUUAAAAUUUUAUGAUGAUUAAAUGAUAAUUAAUAUGUUAAAUAAUGUUAUAAGUUAAGAAUUUGUAUAUGUUACUAUUUUCUAUAACUCUUACAUGAAUGUAUAGAUGUAUAAGGGGCUUUACUUUUUAGCUCUGACGACAUUCAUUUGAAAAAGGGAGCCAUGAAAAACUGCACUUAUCGUCCUAGAAAUUUGUCUCAAUUAGACUUAUGUGUCGAAUUUUAUUAAAGAUUAAUUACUCAAUAAGUAAAUCUAUUUCCAGUUUUUACAUAUAAAACUAUAUCGAAUCAAAAUUUUCAAUUCAAGUUAUUAAUUAAACUAAAGUUCAUGUGUGAUUUUAGAAUAUAUAUAUAUAAGGGGUAAGCAGUAGAGGAAUUGUCCAAGGAUCGAAUUUGAGACUAAUCUCAACUGAAGACUUAUACAUAAAUCCUUUAUAACUCUACCUAUGAUUCAAUUGGUUUACUUGAAUGCCAUAAAAACCAGCAGAAUUCUAUUUAUUUGUUCUUUUAUCAAAUGCGAUAUGAAGGGAAGGGGAUGAAGAUUAAGAUGAUAGUGAUUGAACCCAUAUAAUUAAAGCAUCAAAUAAGAACCUUAGCCAUUGGACUAACAUGUAAACAUUUGAUUUUGCAUUGUCAAACAAUAGCUAGGAAGCAGGUGGAGAAUAUAUAUAUAUAUAUCUCCCAUGUUUUCAUUAACGUUUGUUGGUUUAGCAAAGGUUUGUGUAGAUUUAUGUAAAUAUUGAGGUUGACUACAGUUCCUAUAAAAACAAGAGAAAUUAUAACCAACCAAAAUGAACAAAAAUAAUAAUAUUUAGGGGAAGAGAUAUAAAUAAGAACAAAAUAGAUAGGGCAAUUAGGGGGGGUCUUGUAACUCUUUGUUGCAUAGCAUGCCAUAUUAUCAUAAAUUUCUCCCACUAGUUUCCAACUUUAUUUCCUCUUCAACUUGUUCUUGAAACCUGUAAUAAUCAAGCAUAUGUAUAUUCUUUUAUGUAAUUGCCAAAUAUCUCACUUUUACUUUGUGCUUGAUAGGGUAAAAACACAUGAAAUGAAUAGAUAGAGGGUGAAAAGAUUAAUUUACCACUCUACCAUGUAAGUCCUUAGCCUUUGGUAUUAGAAUUAAUUUCAUCAUUCUUUUUUUAUGGUAACAAAAUUAUCAUUUACUUAAUGUUGAGACCUAAACAACAUGAAUUAAUUAAAACUACAUACACUUUUUUAAAUUCCCAUCAUAAUGUUCUAAAAGGGUGUCUAUAUAAUAAAGAAAAAAGUUCAAAUACACCAUAAAUCCCUGUACUUUUUUGAAAAUUUUGAAAUUUAAUCUUUUUACUUCUCAUAUUUCAAAAUUCAGAUACAAUUGUUAAUAGUGUUAAAACUAUUUUGUUAAAUUCAAGUUCAUUACAACACAUUUUUUUAGUUACAUGACUACUAAAUGAGUAUUUUUUAAAUCUUUCAAAAUGUCUCACCAAUAAAUUUAACAAAAAAAAAAGCAAUAGUGUUAACAAUUGAACUUGAAUUUUGAAACCUGGAAAAUAAAAAGAUUAAAUUCCUAGAAAUAAAAGUAUGGGGACUAAAUUCCAAAACUGUGAAGAGUAGAAGGACUUGUGACACAUUUUAACCUAGAGAAAAAAAAAUACUUUAUGUUCCAAAUGAACUUACAAGGAAAUAGCUUUCACCGUGGAGCAAACUCUCAAGCAAAAAACCAAAGUCAUUCAUGGGAAGAGGCAAACCAGAAGAGUGGACCAACAUUACAUCUUCACCAAACAUAGCUUUAAUGUCAAGUGGACCCCUUGGAACUUCUGUUGGGACUCCAUUGAUGAACACUGUGAUGAACCCUGAAACAAAUCCCAGUAAGCUUUUAACUCAGCAUUCAAUACCUGCUGCAGAUUUUUAAUAUUUGAACAAAGUGUAAAGAAGAAAAAUGAAAAAAAAGUAACACUUUCGGUUUCUUCAAUCAUUAGUUUCCCCCAUGUUUAUAAUCUCUAUUGCAAAGCCAAUAGAAAGGUUCUAUAUGAAAAGAAAUAAAAUUAUAAUAAUAAAGCAACAUAUAGCAUAUUUAUGGGGUACAGUGCAUAACUCUAUUUUCAAACAAUAUGAAACACAUUGUUACAUCACAAGAAAGUUACUGUUUCAGAUACUUUUUCAUUAUUCAUGAAAUGGGUUUUUAAAAAAAAAAUUUGAAUUAAAAGAAAUGAAAAUGAAUGAAUCAUGCAAUUUACCAGAUUGAUACUGCAAAUUUGAAGUUUCUGAAGGGCAUAAAACUGAUGUAAUGUUUGAGCUUUCUCCAUUUCCUUGAAACCCCAUUUGAGAGGACAUUGAGAGAAGAUUUCCCAUUCCAUCAUCAUUCAUAACACCAUAUGAAGAAGAAGGACCAAUUAGGAAAGAAGCAAAGUUUGGAGGAGAAUUUGCAAACCCCAUAGAAACCUCAUUAUUUUCAUACUGAAUUGCACCGCCGCCACCACCGUUACCGAGUAUUUCUGAUUGGUUAUUCCUUUGUUCUCGUACACCAGCAGCUAACAGCUGUUGUCGUUGCCGGCGACGAGACCUCGAACGUCGGUUUUGGAACCAGUAAAAGACAUUAGCAUCACCAACAGACCCGAAUUUCUCAAGCAGCUUCCUUAUUCUCACAGUUUCAUCUUUAGGAGGGUUAACCAUGCCACUAUUGAAGAUGGACUCUAGUAUGAGGAUUUGUUCUGGUUUUGGUGUCCAUCUUGACCUUACUGGUUCACUUCUCUCUGAACCAUGGCUCGGACCAUUAGGGUCCGGAGCUUGAUCUUCCAUUAAUUUGAAAUGAAGAAAAUAAUAGUGCAAAGAAACGAAAAUAGUUCCUUCAAGCUGAAACCUAGGUUUAAGAAUAUAGGACAAAAAAAAUACCAAAGCACAUGAAUACACAGUCUAGAAUAUAUUAGAGAGGGUGAAUUUAUAUAUAAGACCCUGAUGGAAUGUUGUUUUCUAAAGUUACCAUAUCACCCUUAUCUUGUUUGGACAUCAUAGAGUUGAAAUUACUUCUUUACCUAUCAAAGCUUCUCAAAGCUUUUCCAGGAUUUUCUAUAUAUAUAUAUAUCAAUAAAUGUUGGGCGGAGUCAGCAGUGGUGAAAGAGAUGAAGCCAAAAAAAUAUUUUGAGAUUGGAAAUUAAGAUAUAGAUUUUGGUUAGACUUAAAAUGCAAUUUUACUAUUGUACUAGUUAAUAUUUUUAUAAUUUUUUUAAAAGGUUAGAUCAAAAUUUUAUCAUUUUUAAAGGGUCAAAGUGUAAUUUUAUCAUUACAAAUUUAUAAUUUUAUAUGUUUUAAAGUCAAAAAAAUGUGUUUUUUUAUAUUUUAGGGGGCUAGGGCCUUGUUUGCCACCUCUCCCACUACCCCAAACUGUUGAGGCAUUAUACUCCUAAAAGAAUUUAAGUUUAAACUUUAAAAAUGACAUUGUUAAAAGGGAUAAUCACGAAUCCUAAAAGGAUUAGUCUUCAUAAAUAAUAAACUGAACAUGAAAAAUACUUUAGUUACAAAAACAAAAAGAAUAUUAUAUAUAUAUGCAGUAGCGAGGGUUUAUUUCGAUUGGCUGAGACAGAUUUAGCUCCCCUCCAUUAUUUUUAUUUUUCAUUAAUUAUUAUGCAAUACAUGUUUAAUCGAAUUUUACAUUUAAUGAUGGGUCUUACUCGUUUAAAUAAUAUUGAUCAAUAUUUUGGAUAUUAGCAAAAGAAAAAGUAUAUAUAAUGUGGAAUAUAUUUAAAACACGUGUAUUUCUACAACAUAAAUAAUUUAGACCUAACAAGUUAAAAAAAAACAAUGAAUUAAAAUUUAAGAGUGGAGGUUUUUUUAAUAAGUCAAAUUCAAAUCCAAAUUAUCCAUGCAAUAAAAAUAUAAAUAUUUAAAGUUUGAAAUUGACAACUAAAAUGAUAAAAGGAUCUGAUUGAUAUGAUAUCCACACUUUAAAAACUCAAUUAAAACUAAAAUCAACCUAAAUUAAAAAUAGAUGAUAUAAUUAACCCUAAAAAAUGAACUCCAAAAAUUUAUAAAUUCUUCCUUUAUCCUUAAAAAACUCUAUAUUUUCUUGCUAUUAAUUCCCAUGAACCAGCUAAAUUCUAGCUUAGCUAGCCUUCCUUGGUUUAAGGAAUUUGUAUCCUAUUAUUCAUACUUUAUCAUAUGCUUUUCAUACUUGAAAAAAAAAAGGGUGAAAAGACCUAGUUUUUGGUGGAUUUAGGCAUAUUAUUUUGGAUCAACAUUGAAACAUAAUUAGGUAGCAGUCAAGAGAAAUGCCAAAUGUUACACAUUUCCCCCCUUCUUGAGUAGUAAUUAUGUCACCCAAUUAGAUUCCAAUAAAAGAACCCAAGCUAAGCAUGAGUAAAAUUGACCAUAUUAUAUACCCAUUGGCUAUUAUUAUUAUUGUACCUAACCUCUUCUUCUUUUUCAACCUCUUAAUUUCUUGUCUUCAAAAUAAUUUCCUUUUUAAAUAGAACUUGGCAUUGGGAUUGGGUAAAUAUUUGCAAAGCUUUGGUUUGAAAAACUAUAUUAGAAACAAUUUUUUCUCAAUGUGACCUACAAUCACUUAUAAUAUUGAAUAGAAUUUUAGAUUAUUUCUAAGUCCCAUGCACUAUUAAUGAAUAGUAACACGGCAUAUCAUUAAUAAAUUAAACAAAAAAUAUGGAGGGUUGGUAAAUAAAUACUGAUAAUUUUAUUUAAACAAUAAUUCUAAUUAUCAUAAAUAAAUAUUAAUAGCUCUCGAAUUUAGGAUCACAUGUUUAAAGGUUUAGGGUCUCAAAUUUUAGCAUUUAUUUAUAAGUCUUACACUAUUUAUGAUGUGUUAUGUUAUUAUUCACUGAUAUGCAUGGGACUUAAGCACCAACAGUGUAUCAAUAUUCUCUCUUUUUUUAAAAGUAGUUAUGUUUGAUUUUUUUUAUAGUAUAAUAAUAAAUUUAGCUUUUAAUGUUUACCCCUUUUGUCAUUUAGUCAUUAAAUCUUUUUUUUUUUGACCAUUUUGAUUUAUGACUCUCAACUUUCAAAAUUUAGGCGAAUUGAUUUCAUUUGUUUACGUUUUAAAUUUUAAAGGUUGAGAGUCAAAAUGAUUUUUUUUUUUAAAAAAAUAGGACCAAAGUGAUAGAUAAAGUAAACAUUAAGAGCUAAAUUUAUUAUUGAUUCAUUUUUCUUAUUAUAUUUAUUCUAAAGAUUGAUCAUUCUUUUACCCUCCUGGUUAAACAUAAAAAUUAUAAUUUAACUCCUCCUAAAAAGUAAUUAUUCAAUUGAAUCCCUUUUAGCCUUAUGGGUAAAUAGAAAAUUGAUAUUUUAUCUUCUCUCAAAUUCAAUAAUUUAAAUUAAGCACUUCCAUUUUUGGUCCCUCCCAAAAACUAGAAAUUCAACCAGAGCCAUUUUAACAUAAAACUUUUAAUUUCAAUCCUAAUACAAAAAAAUGUAGAAAAUAGAGGUCAAAAUGGUAAAAGAAAGAAGAAAGAAAAGGAGGCUGAAAUAGGAAAACUAGAGUUUUGGCUAUAAUGGCAAAGUGCAUGUGAAGGAAUGCAUGGAAAGCUGGGAAGAGACAACUUCUUUUCCAUAUUUCUUUACAACAAAAUAAAGAAAUCUCACUCAAUUGAUAGUCAAAAAAUGGUGGAAUUAAUUAUUAACAUAAUUUUCCUUUUUAACCAAAGUAAACUUUCAGAAAAUAAAAGAAAAGUCGAAACAUGAAGAGAGAUGUCAGUAUUUUAAUAUUAUGGACGUAAUUCAAUGCUAAACCAUUUACUUUUUUCAUUAUAAUUUUCUCUUAAUUCUCUUUGUCUUCUCAUUCUGUCUCCACAUUUGAGUUCCCCCAUAUAUGUACAAUCCCAUUUAAGUUAUAAUCGUAUCUGUUAUUUUGACACAAUACAUAGAAUUACUCAUAAUCACUUUAAUUCAUAAAUAGCACAUCCUUUUACAUUAACAAUAAUGCUCAUAUCAAUCGAGCUAAGACUCAAUCGACUAAAUUUUAUAUUUUAAUCUUCCAAAAUUUUAUUAUUCAUUUUUACUCCUUAAUUUUUUUUUGGUGAAUUUACCCUUAUUUUAAUUAUUAAAAAACUGAAUCAAAAUCCAACCAAAUGUCAAAGAUAAUCAAACCAAAUUCCAUCGCUUCAGUUUAUCUAUUUCUGAUUUUUUUUAAAAAAUUAUAUUACUUUUUUUAAAAAAAAUCAAUUUUCAAUUUAACGAAAUUUAAUUAAUAAUAUAUUAAUUAGACUUUAAAUUACAAAUCAAACCAGUAAAAAAAAUAAAAUCCUAUAAUUUUUAUUCGCAGAGAAACUAAAUUCCAAGAGAUUGAAGAAAUACAAUGACCAAGGGCAGAAUUAAAAUGUUUUUCCCUUAAUUUUCUAAGUAUUUGUAAUUUGUUUAUAGGUGUUCAUGGCCCAACAGAUAGUUUUGGGUCAUACUUAAGUUUAUAUUUUUCAACUUUAAGUUAAUUUAUUUCAAUCAAUUUUUACUGUCUAUAAAUAAUAAAAAUAUAAAUAAAAUUAUAUCAAUAUUAUUAUGAAAUAAAUAAUAAAGAGAAUAAAAGAACAAGAACAAGUAGAGAAAAAGAGAACGUAUAGAUUUAAUUGAUCAAUAAAAAUAUUCACAAUGUACAUCAAACUUUUUUUUAAUUUUGAUGAAUAUCAACUUGAUAAUAAAAUACUCAGAACAAAUAUUUAUAUAUUCUAAAUUUAUUAUUUUUAAAUAAUAAAAAGAGUUUUUGGAGCGAAAUGAACUUAAACACGAAAAUUUUUUAAAAACGGAGCUUCGGUCCAACCACUAGCAGGGGCCUCAAAAUGAAACUUUAUAUUUAGGCCCUUGAAUUUUUUUAAAAUUUUAAAUUAGUAAAGAUAAAAUUAUACUUUGGCGCCCCUAAAAUUAUAAAAAUUUGAUUUAAUCUUUUAAAAAUUAUAAAGAUAUAGACUAUAAAAAAUUAAAGUUUUAUUUGACCCUUAAAAAUUUGUUCUGGCUUCGCCCCUGGGUCGAACCCGAUUCGACCACUAAUUGUAUAUAUAUUUUCACUUUUUUUAAGUAAAUAAAUUUAGAUACAUACUGUAUAUAUGUGUGUAAAAUGAUUGAUGCAAAGGUUUCGAUAGAAAGGAAAAUUGUACGUUCGUUUUUUAUUUAAAGAUGGUAAAAUAAUUUUAACUUUAUUAAGCUCUUUUGUCCAUAAAUACUCCACUCUACAAAAUUCCCUAUAUACAUAAUUACACCUUUGACGUAAAAAGUCGUUUUGCACGACAAAAAGGCAUUUUCAACAGUGCCUGCCAUCCGUACAAUUUUAAUGCUAUUAAUUAAUAAAAUAAUCUUGUAUCAACUUCUAAUUAUUUAAGAAAAUUAUAAAAAAAAUUUACAAUAUAUUUAUAUAUACUAUACAUCCUAUCCUAUGUAUAUGCACGUAAAAACUACUAGUUUAGAAUAUAAGUGUGUAUAAAAAUAACAUACAGUAAAUAAUAAAGUGUAUGGUUUGAAGCUAAUAAUCAUAAUAAUACAAUACUAAAAUAGAAAAUAUAAAUUAAUUUAAACACAUAAAUACAUUAGAUAAACAAUAUUAAAUACACUAUAAUUAUUUAUUAUAGUUUUGUCAACAAUUGGGAGUUAGCAUCGGGUUGACUUGUGACGCCAACUCAAUUAACAACAUUAUUAAUAUAUAAAAGUAACGGAGAUAAUAACUUAUGCAUAUUAAAAAUGAAAAUGUAUAAAUUAGAAUAAAAUGAAGCUUUGGUUGAUUGGUAAAAUUAAAGUUUUGCUAACUCAAUUAGUGUGGGUUCAAAUCCUACUAUAUGCAUAUUUUAAUUUGUUUUUGUUAAAAAGAAAAUACUAAAAUACUCUUAAAUAGUAUAACUUAUUUUAAUUAUGAAAAGGUAUUUUUGUAAUUUUUUAACCGAGUUGGUGACCCAAUUGAAUGUGACAGCAAUUUAGUAAAACGCUUAAUAAUAUUAACUAUAGAUAUACAACUAUGGGAGAUAAUAACUUGUGCAAAUUAAAAUAAAAUUGUAUAAAAUAUAUUAAAACAAAGUUUUGGUUAAGUGGUAAAUUUAAUAUUUUACAAAUUUAAUUGGGGUAGGUUCAAAUUCCACUAUGUGCAUAUUUUAAUUUAUUUUUGUUAAAAUGAAAAGACUAAAAUACCCUCAAAUAGUAUAAGUUAUUUUAAUUACAAAAUGUAUUUUUGUAAUUUCUUAAUUGAUUUGGUGACUCGAUCGAGGGUGACACCAACAUAAUAAAACACUUAAUAAAUAGUAAGUAUAAAUAUACAACUAGUGGAGAUAGUAAUUUGUGCAUUUUAAAAUAAAAAUGUAUAAAAUAUAUUAAAAUGAAAUUUUGGUUGAGUGAUAAAUUUAAGGUUUUUUAAUCCAAUUUGUGUGAGUUCAAAUCUCACAUAUGCAUAUUUUAAUUUUUUUUGUUAAAAUGAAAAGACUAAAAUACCCUCAAACAGUAUAACUUAUUUUAAUUACGAAAGGACAUUUUUAUAAUUUCCUAACCGAGUUGGUGACCUAGUUGAGGGUGACACCAACUUAGCAAAAUACUUAAUAAAUAGUAUAGUUAUACAACUAAUGAAGAGAACAACUCGUGCCUAUUAAAAUACAAAAGUAUAAAAUAUAUUAAAAUAAGGCUUUGGUUGAGUGGUAAAUUUAAUGUAACACCCCAAAUUUUAGGGUUGGAAAUUCUGAGUUUUGUGGUUAGGGUCAGUAAAAAGGUUGUGCUAUUGUGUUUAGUUGUGCGUUUAAGUGGUAGGAUGGGCUUGUUGGUUUGGUGGUUUGUUAGGUGUUAAUUUCUCUUUGGAUUUUGGGUUCGAGUCCAUGUGUGCACGUUUUGAAGAAAUAUUUUUAUGUUGUUUUGUUUUGUUAAAUAAUAGUUUUGUUUUAACUUAAAAAUAUAUAUAACUAUUUAAUUUUAAUAGUUCAUAUUAUUUUUCUUUUUUUUGUUUUUCCUGGAAGUUCCCUUUUCUUCUUUUCUUUCUUUUUCUCUGUUUCUUUUCUUUUUCCUUUGAAAAUGGGUUUUACCGGCAGAUUUCAGAAAAUUUUGCUCAUUGUCGUCGAGUCGACAUCUGGACGUUUCGAUCACAAAUCAAGUGUGGGUUCUAUAUCCUUUCUUAUUUAUUUAUGAAUUCUCGAUUCGACUUUGUGAAAGUUGGUAAUUUAUGUGUGUGUUCACAAAUCGGUUAGUUAUGAUGUUGUACCGCUAUUUUCAUGCUUAGAACUUGUUUGAUUUGGUAUAGUUUUGAGUUAUCGAAGGCUGGAAAGAGCUUCAAGAGUGAAAGCACGUUUUUCUAGGCUAUUUUAAGUUGGUUUCAAGACCACAUGGGUGGCCACACGGGCGUGUACCUCCACACAGUUGGUCCACACAACCGUGCGCUAUUAAGAAUUAAGGUUUACGGGCAAAAAUUGGUGUCACACGGUCGUGUGGACGUUUUGGGGAUUUUUGUUGAUUUCCACACGAUCGUGUCCCUUGAACACAUGGGUGUGUGUGUUUGGGAAUUAGGGAUCUGUGGUUUAGUUCCACAUGGCCUAGCCAUGGUCGUAUGGCUAAUUUGGGGAUUUAUGGAUCCCACACGAGCGUGUGAGAUCCUCACACAACCGUGUCAGUCCUGUACUCUAUUUUACCACAUUUGGGCAGUGAGUUACACAGCCUGUUUACACAGCCAUGUCCCUAGCUUACACGGGCAUGUACCUUAGUCACACGGCCGUGUGCCUCUCUCCAUAUGGGCAUUUUGAUCCCCCACACGGCCUAGGUUUUUCUAUUCAGCUGUUUGGUCCUAAGUCACCAAUUUUAGUUUGUGUAUGUUUUUUAUCUGAAAAUGCGUCUGUGUAUUCCGACCCUUGGCUAGACUUUAGUGAGGGUAGCUAACUCUCUAUAUCUAUGGCUAUGUGUUCUGUUAAUGUGUAAUUCGUGACUGUUGAGGGUGAGAUGUCUGUUUUUUGAACCCCUGUUUGGUCCUAAGUCACCACUUUUAGUUUGUGUAUGUUUUUUAUCUGAAAAUGCGUCUUUGUAUUCCGACCCUUGGCUAGAAUUUAGUGAGGGUAACUAAGUCUCUAUAUAUAUGGCUAUGUGUUCUGUUAAUGUGUAAUUCGUGACUGUUGUGGGUGAGAUGUCUGUUUUCUGAACCCGAUUAGUUGGGUGUGUAUGUGCGUAUCUAUUUUUGUUUAACUGUCUGUCAAUGUGUUCAUUGUUUCUGUGAGAUUGUAUGCAUACAUACACUUGCAUAAAGUAAAUUUUUGGGUUGGAUGUGAAGAAAAGGGAGACUGAUUCUGAUCUGAUCUGGUAGUUCUACUGCAACUUAUUCGUAUAGCGGUUUACCGCACUGUACCACGGGUACGUCAGUUUUGCUGCGUACUAUUAUUUGAUUUGGCAGUUUAAAUUGCAACAUGUUUGUACAGCAGACUACCACAUUGCAUUGUACUGCAUAUACGUUAUCCUUACUGCGUAUUAUUAUCUGAGUGGCUUAGUCCACAUUCAUGGUGUGUAGGGUUGGAUGGGCCUUUUGAGGUCCUAAUCGUGUGAUUGGUUGGAUGAGGUUUAACAGCUCUUUUGGGGAGUGAUUGGGGGACGGAGAGGUGUAUUGGUUGGAUGGGUGGGUUUUAGUACCUGACUGCAUUCAUGUGCAUCUGCUUGGGUGUAAGUUUAUCGGACCGUAUUCUAUAUGUCUGAAUAACACUUGUGUUGAGUAUUCUGUGUGUACUUGGUAUGCUCUAACUGUUACGUGUGUUGAGGUGUUGGUUCCGUGUUGGUAUCUAUUUCUGCAUAUAUCUUUAAAUAUAUUAUGCUACUGAAUUGCCAUCUCGAGUUCCCUUCUGUAAAUAUGUUGAUAAUCGUAUUGAACUCACACUGAGCUUGCAUAGCUCACCCCUUUAGUGUUUUCCCUUUCAGGUACCUUUCUGAAUUCUGACGUUGGACUCGGUAUGUAGAGGUCUCAGACUGCCACAGUUAAAAAAAAAAUAGUUUUUCUUUUCAUUUUUCGUUUUGAUAUACUAUUUGAAAUUGUAAGGUUUUAUAGAAACUGUGGAACAAGUUUCGUUUGGGAUUUCCGCUCGUAAAUUUUAUUUUGUUUAUAUAUUACACCUAACAACAAUUUUUCUGACUGUUUUCUAUAAGAUUUAAUGUUUUGGUUCGUGGUGACAACUUAUUUUGUAAAAUUUUCCAACGAUCACUUCGGUGAUCAAUGUGACCUCCGAAAUUCGAUCUAAACUUCUAGGUCGGGUUUAAGGGUGUUACAUUUAAAGUCUUAUUAAUAUAAUUGACAUGUAUUCAAAUCUUAUCAAAAGCAUAUUUUAAUUUAUUUUUGUUAAAAUGAAAAAUUAAAAUACCCUCAAAUGGUACGACUUAUUUUAAUUACAGGAACAUUUCUGUAAUUUCUUAAUUGAGUUACUGACCCAGUUGAGGGUGACACCAACUCAAUAAACUCAAAAAGAAUUAAUUUUUUAAGUACUAAAACGAACAUGAAAAACUAAGGGCGGGAGAAGUUAAAAAGUUUUCCUAGAAGGGCCAAAAGAAAAUUAUAAAUAUUUAAAGGGCUAAAAUAUAAUUUUAUCAUUAUAUUAACUUUUAUUUGUAUAAUCUCUAUAAAAAGUUUUUUAAGAGUAAUACCAAUUUUUUAGGACCAAAGCUAUUACUUAUCUUUCGUUUCUCUGUAAAAGAUACCUUGAUUAUAAAAAAGGUAAAGUUAUUAAGAAAACUUGAAAAGCAAAAAGGACUAAAGUUUAAUAAGCAAAUUAAAAAGAAAACCUUAAUCAAUGUGCCCCUAAAGCAUAACCAAAUGUUGGUUGGUGUCCCCUGAAUAUUAUUUUCAACUUUCUCUCUAAAAAAUGUAAGAAAAAAAUAUGAAAAUACUUAAACUAACAAAACUAAAUUGAUAAAUUUGGUAUACAAAAUCAACAUUAUUAGAUAGUGUUUCGUAUAAUGGAAAGUAGUCACUUUACUGAAAAUUUAAUCAGCUGAAAAAUGAUGUCAAUAUUUGGUGUAUCAAUUUUUAUUUAUUUUCCUUAGAAUCUAACUUUCCCUUUAGAGUUAUUUUUCUGUAAACACAACAAUGGUGAUUCCCAUGAUAAACAAUCGGAAAGUUACUUUCCUUUUGCUUAUGUAGAUUGGAAAGUUAAAAAAAUGCAUGAAGACAGAAUUAAGACUACUUUAUAUUGAUUUAGGGUAUUAAUAUACUAAUAAACGUAAAAUAAAAAAGUUAUUACCUCCCUCCUCCUACUUGAUUUUCUCCAUAUUGCUUAACGAAUUCUUUGCAAGUAAGCUUAUUUUCUCGCUACAAAUUUGAUUUAGCAUUUGUAUUCGUAUGACAUGCCUUUUUUUUUUCCGUAGAAUAUGGGUAGAAUUGUUUCAUUUAAGUUUGUAUAGGAAUUGUGAGUUAGGUCGUCUAUGAUUUUACAUUCCUAUGAUUUAAUUAUUUGUAUUUUUGCUCAGAGUAAUAUCCGAAAUCAACUUCUUCUUUUUUUUAUAUUCCUAUGGGUAAGCCUUUAGCUAAAACAAAAUGUGGUUUCAUGUUUAUUUCUUAAUUCUCAAAAUAAGUUUUAUAUAUCUAUAAUUUUAUAUAUGCAUUAUUAUAUAGAGAAAAUAUAAGCAAGACAAAUUUAAAAUAAUUUUACUUUUAAUUAAAAUUAAAAAAUUUAAAAAUUAUCCAUUAAAUUUUAUUAUUAAAUAUGUAAUCCAAAUAUUUGUUAAAAAUAAAAAUUAUUAUAAAAAUUAAAUAAUAAAUAUUAUUUUUUAUUUAAUAAAAGUAAAUUCAUAAAUUAUCAUUAUAUUAUUAGAAGCGUACUUGAUGAACUAAAUGUAAUAGUAUAACUUUCUUAAGAUUUUAAUCAAUAUCUUCUUAUGCAUAUCAAAUAUUAUUUUAAUGUAGCGGAUAUAUAUGAAAUUUAUUGCCUUUAUAUUUAGGGCUUUCUCAUUCUUUAUCCUUAAUAUAGUAUUUGUAUUCCUCUUUCAAUGUUUUUUUUUUUAAUUUUUCAAUUUAAAAACUAUACAUAUUUUUAAUUUUAAUGAUUUUUCAAUACCACGAAUGUUAAACCCACCAUUCAACUAAUUAAAUAAAAAAAUUGGUGAUUUUGAUGGAUUCCAUCAUCAAGAUUGGAACAAGAUUAACUCGUUUUCCUACAACAACAACAAUAAAUAAAUGCAGAUGUUGCAUGGAAGUGAGAAAGGCAGGGGGUUUUGGUAGGUUGCUAAGUUAGCGAGAGGUUUAGUAAAGUGGGGAGGGGGUGUUGUAGGCUUUUGGACUUUUACUACAAAUGGAAAAUUGCCUACUAUUUUCACUGUGUUAAGGAAUCUUCACUGUGCUGUCACAGUUCAGCCUGCUUUUUUUUUCUUAUAUUAUAUAUUCUUUUUCUUACUGUGAUUUAUAAUUAUAUAGUUUUCUUGUUAAGUUAUUCACAGAGUGAAGCUAAUGAUUAAUAUCUCGUGUUCGAUAGACCUAUUAAGAGUAGACAUUAAUUAUAAGUUUUAAAAUUAUACUAUAUCUAGGAUAAAGAUCAAACACUUAACUAUUAAUUAAAGUAAAAAAGACUCUUAUCAUUUUACUUAACUCUCGUGAUUAUUUAGUUCAUAAAAAUCUAAAAUUGUAAUGCAUGAAUUCAAUGAGUCACCUGCGUCAUUCGUUUUAAAUAAUAAUUUUUAAUGGGUGUUUUGUUCGUUUAAUGUAACAUCACGGCUUAUAAUGUUAUAUUUCGAAAUAAGUUUAUGAUGUUUAACUUUCAACAUUUUAGUCAUUUCAUAAUCUUAUAUUACGAUCAUCCUGUAAUAUAGGAUGUAAUCUCAUUACGGCUCAUUAUCUUAAAUAACAGACGUAAUCUUGAAAUCUAGAACAAAUUUCUCUCUUUUUUUAUUACUCUAAUCAAUUUAGGUAUUUUCUUUAAUAAAGUUUAAGACUAAUUAAAAACAAUUUUUUUUCCUUAAUAGUGAAUUAGUAGAUACCAUUCAACAAGUAUAGUCAUUAUAUUUUAUUUAUUUAUUUACUUAUUAAUGAUUAUAAGUAUAGUAAUGGUUGAUGUUGUAAUCACUUUUCAUGAAUUAUUAUAAUUAUGAUUUAUAAAUUUAUUUCAACACAAUAUAUUUACUUAUUAAUAUAUAAAUUGUAAUGAAAAUAAGAAUUGUAAUAAUUUAUCAUAAUUUUACGGAAAAUAAGACUAGAAAAUAUUAAAGGAACUAAACUUGUUAAAAAAAUAAAUUAUAUAACAAGGACAAUUAAGUAAAACGUGUUUUUAGUUAAUAUUACAUUCCAGCCAAAUGAACCAAACAAAGUAAUCUCACUUCUCACUUAUAAUCUUACAUUCGCGUAAUUCUAUCACAUAACGUAAUUUAAGAUUCAGCGAUCCAAAUGUCCUCUUACACUUGUCACUUUUAAAUUUCAUAAAAAUCAAGCUAAACUAAACUUAAUAUUAUUGGUAAAAGCUGAGGUCUUGUAUCUUUGUGGAUUCAAGUUUGAGUUUCACUAUAUGUGGUGCAGGUACAAGGAGACAGGCAAUAACUUUGGCCACCCGAAAGGUAAAUUUAUCUUGAAGCCCUUUCAAAAGUUAAGAAAUUAUAAAUUAAUAUAAUAGUAAAAUUACUCUUUGGUUCCUUCAAAUUUUAUGAUUCAUCUUUACUUCCUUAAAUAAUUUUCUAUCUUCGCCCUUGGUAUAAGUGUGAGUUUCUAGUCUCACAAUGUGUUUUUAUCAUACACGAGUUUUGAUUGGUGAGUUGUUCGAUCUUAAUCUGAAUUAUUUCUAAUUCUUAAUCUAUUUGUAAUUGCUCAAACAUAUAUUUAAAAUUGUAUUAUAAUCAAUAAUAUUUAUAUAUAUGUAAACUCAAAAAAAAAAAAAGUGGAGACAUGACCAUAUUGUUAUUUUGACUUGCUAAAAAACAGAAAAUACCAAAAAUAUAUGUUAGAUCUUGAAAAUCAAAAAAUCAUAUUGUAUUUAAAUUUACAACACAAAAACACCAAUGACUUGAAAGUUUAAAACUAGAAUCUCUCAAUUUUUGGGAGGAAGAUAGGACCACUAAAUUGUUGUUAACAAUUUUGUCUCUUCAAACUACUUGUUUGUUUUUCUUUGUCAACUGUAAGAAAUUGGAAUUGGACCACUAACUUCCUCCCCCCCCCCCAAAAAUUUAAGCCCCACGAGAUUAAGGAUUUAAUUAUCCCCAUUUUACUAUGGUUUUAUACAAUUUGGACCACUAACUCUCAUAAUAAUUAAGAGAAUGAGGUUUUAGAUUUGGGUUGUUUAGGUUUAAGUUUUAUUUUAUUUAAAUCUUGUAUAAGUUCGAAAAGAUUUUUUUAGUAGUCGGAGUAAAUUAUUAUACACAUUAUUAGUAAGUAAUUUUUUCGAUUCGAUCUUAUAAUGCGGGUACGAGGGCGAACAUUUUUAACCAAUGGGUUAAAUAGUAAGAUUGAUCUUGAAUUGAGGAUGUAAUUGAAUUAAAUAUAAUGUUUUUAAAUUUUACUUUAAUUGUAGUAAUCAAAUUGGCAAUAUUUUAUAAUUAUAAUUGAGAAAAUUGAAUGAAACUACUCAUAAUUUUAUGACCCUUAAAUCAAAAGAAAAAAUGUAUUUAAAUGUGCUCGAACUUAUAUCAUCCUAAUUGUUGUAAAUUGUUAUUAUAAUUAUGAUGUAAACUCAAUUAAGAUUUAAUAAACAAUUAAAUUCCGAUUAAUUUAUUAAGAUAUUAAUAAUAUAAAAAAAGACAUGGAAACUUUAAAAAAUGUAUAAAACCAAUAAUUAUUGGUGCAAAAUUUCCCCAUGCUCCAUUACAUGAAUUUUUUAAAAAUGUUGUGGGGGCAGUUUGGUAUGUUGAAGAUGAAUAACAAGAUUUUAGACCAAUAAUUAGUGUCAAUCUAGUUUUCAAGAGCCAUUAAUGAAAGUGAUAUAAUGAUACACAAUUUGAUUCAUUAUAUAUAUAUAUAUAUAGGGGGUGGUCUAUGGAUUGAAGCUAAGGAUAUUUCGUAUUAGAGGGGGGAGAUGUUCCAUUCAACUUGCACAGUUGCAAAAGGCAUUGAUGAGUGUCAAAAAAGAGUGUACAAACAACAGGGAUUGUGGCUUUUCAUUUGUCCCUCCAACCUGUAUUGUCUUGCUAACAUUAUUUUUAUUUUUUAGGUUUCUAAACCCUCACCCUAGGCUUAGGGUGUUUUUUCCUCUCUUUUUUUCCUCUCCUUUUAUGUAUGGUCAUAAUGAUUUCUGCCAAAAGAAAAUGAAAAUAAAAACAGUAAUGUUGGACAUAGAGGUGUGCAUGGGCCGGGCAGCCCGGCCCGGCCCGAAGGCCCGCUCUAAAAAUGGGAGGGUUUGGGUAAAAAUAUAGGCUCGAAAAACGGGCUUGGACAAAAAACGAGGCCCGUUUAGAAAACGGGCCGGGCCUCGGGUAAGAUUUUGCCCGGCCCGAUUUUAAUAUUAAAUUAUUUUAAAAUUUUUUUAUUUUUAAUUUUAAAUAACUUUAGUACUUUACUUUACUUUUUUUUGUUGUUUUGAUGUUAUUUUGAUAUUGUAAAACUUUUGUUAUUAAUAUAAUUUAAUUCUUAAUUUAGUUUUAAUUUGUUUCAAUUUUUCAAUUUUAAUAUAAUUACUUUUUAUUAUAUUUUUAAUUUAUGUAUUAUUUUAAUAAUUAUUUUAGUCCCAUUAUUUAUUUAUUUUUUGUUUUAAUAUUUAUUUUUAUGUUUUAAAUGUAUUUGAUUUAUUAUAUUUUAAAGUUUUUUAUUUAAUAAAAAAAGCAAAAAAAAAAUUUAAUAUGAUCGGGCCGGGCCGGGCUCGGGCCUACCUUUUUUCUCGGGCCGGGCUUGGACAAAUUUUUCAGGCCCAUAUUUCGGGCUGGGCCGGGCCCGGGCCCGGGCCUUGAAAACGGGCCGAAAUUUUUUGUGGGCCCAGCCCGAACCCGGCCCGGCCCGGCCCAUGCACACCUCUAGUUGGACAUAGAUGUCUAUAUUUAUAUAUUUGUAUAUCUAUUAAUCUUAAGCUUUUAAUCAAUAUUUGUUAGGAUGAAUAGUGAUUUCUUUUAUAGUACAUGAAAAGGAAUUUUUUUUGAAGUUUAUGAUUGUUUUUCUUAACUCAACUUGUGAUGUAGUAAUAUUAAGAUUUUACUUAAUAGAGUGGAAAAAAAAUUAGAAAGAUGAAAAAUCAAAAGGGGUUGAAAAUUAUAACGAUGAAAAACAUAAUUUUUUUUUCACAAGUGUGCUUGGUAAUGAGAUGUAAUAUUUUCUUUCCAUUUAUUGCUUAAUAAAGUUGAAAAAUAGAAAGAAAGAAAAUAAAACAUUUAAAAAAUGUAUAAUUUUGAACUAGUAUACAAAUUGUUCUCAUUUUCGCUGCUCUCAUCUUUUUAAUUUGGAAAUCUUAAAUUUCAUCUUCGGAUAACCUUUUCCCUUCCCUUGAUAAAAAAAGGAUAAAAUAAAAUAAAAUUUUUUAUUAUCGUGGAAAGUAGUCUUUAAUAUGUUUUUUCUUGAAAGAUAGAACUCAAUACAAAGCACAACUAAUUUAAAAAUCGAAAUAUAUUCGAAUAAAGUCAGCAUAUGGUAGAACUUAAACUUAGAAUUUUUAAAUAAAAAAAAAACUUCACAUAUGGUAUUUAUACAUAGUGGAAUUUGAAUCGAGAUAUUGAAAAUUCUAUAACAUUAAUCUUUUAGUGUUAUUUAAACCGAAUCAGAUCAAUUAGUUGAAUUGAGAAUCGACCGAUAUACCAUUCCGGGAUAUAAUGGUUGAACUGAUCUCUGAUCAAACCACUCCAAUUCAGUAAAAAGAAAAAAGAAACCAAACAAAAAAUCGAUAGUUGAACAAGUUUUAUAAAAUUUUAUAAUAUAUAUUAAAUUUUUAUAAAUUUUUAAUUAACUUAAUCACCAGUCCAAUUAUUAAAACUAAAACAUUAAAAUUUGCGAACAAUACCCUAUAUUGCCAAUAAUCUUCAUUACUAUUGUCUAUGAUAGCGAGAAAAUACAUGUCAAAUUUUGCAAUCUAGUUUUAUCUAAUUACAUCCUUAAUUAGAUUAGCGUCUAAUGUUACUGUGUUGUAUGUACUUUUAUGUAUUUAAUAUUUAAUUAAUUUUUAAAAUAUCAUAUUUUUAAUUGCAGUAAUUAGUGUAACAUAUUAUUUUUAUUUUAAUCAUUAAAUAUAAUUAAAAUAUAUUAACUUAACAAUUCAAAUAUUUUAAUAGAAAUUUUCAAAUAAUAAUUAAAGUUUUAACAUAUUCAACAUACAAUAUAAUUUUUUGUGGACAAACAUACAAUAUAAUUUUAUUUUAUGUAAUUAAAACAAGUAACAUUAUUCAAAAUAAUAGCUAAUUAACAUAAUUAAAUUUAAUAUUAAUUAAUGGAUAAUUAAUAUGCUUAGAAUUCUAACAACUCUUUUUUGAAAUUAAUACAACUCUUUUUAACUAAUAAUUGUAAUUUAAAUUCUAAUUAUUUUUAAACAAAUAAUUUUAAAUUAAAUAUUAUAAUUAUUUUUAUAUGUAAAAUUAAUAAUAUGAUGAAAAAUAAAAGGUAUUCUCGUUAGUUCAAAAGCUUUUCCAUACUCGUGCUUAUAUAUAUAUAUAUUAUAGAUUAAGAAAUCAUGAAGGUUAAAAUUUUCUAUUAGUCCUAUACCUUGUGAGAGUUACGAAUUUAGUCUCUAUACUUUAAUUUGAUUAAAUUUAGCCUAUGUAUGUUUCGAAUCAGCCAAUUUUAGUUAUUGCACAUAUUGAAUCUUAAAAUUUUAGUUCUGACCUAAACGAUAGUAAUUAAAUUAGUAUGAUUAAAUUAUGCCAUUAGUCCUAUACUAUACAUAAAGUUAUAGAUUUAGUCUAUAUUCUUCAGUAUAUUCAUUCUUAGUCUCUAUACUUUUUUAAAAUUUGAAAUUUUAAUCUUGACACAAAUUAUAGCCAACAAAUCCAUUAAUUGGCUCUCUUUUUUUGUGUGUGUGUGAAUAAUAUAUAGAUAUAGCAAAUUAACAUGACAUUGUACAUAUGAUAAUAUAUUUGUCGAAAAUAACAUAACUUAAUGAAAUUAACAGCUACCUUUUGGUCAAAACAAAAACUUCAAAAUUCAAAAAGUACAAAGACUACGAAUGAGCAAAUUAAAAUACUAAGACUGAAUCUAUAAUUUACACAUGAUAGAGGGAGUAACAAUAGAAUUUAACCAAUAAUUAAUGAGUGAAUGUUGUCAAUUAACAAUUGGGCUUGAUUCGUUUGGGCAAUUAGGCUUGAUUUUGUAAACAUUUUUUUGAAACUAAAUUGGGUCCUAAUAUUGUUGGAACCCAUAUGGGGUUGAAAAUCAUUAAUGGACUUGCAACGAAAUUUUUGUUUUUGUCCAUUUAAGAUGUCACCCUCUUGUACUAUUUUUAAGGAAAAAUCCCAUAAAAGGCCAAAAUGUGUGAACUAAGUAAUAUCAUCCGAUGCCAAUCGAUGAAUGAAAUCCGGAUAGUUCAAGUCAUAAUCAAGAAUAUCGUUUCCAUCCAUUAACUAAUGUGCGAGAGAAUGGGCGACACCAUUAGCUGGUCUAUGAGUUAAAAGUAAGCCUAAACUAGCACACAACUCAUAAAAAUCUAAGAUCUCCCCAACAAUUCAACCUUAGAAAGAUAAAUCUAGAGUCCAACUAUUGAAUUUGUUAGCAAUAAAGCACAAUUUGACUUUAGAACAACUUUAGAAAAACUCUUUCAAGGGCUUUCUCAAUAGCGCAGGACAAAAGCACCAAUACCCAUACUAAAGAAGCUAACAAGCAUCAUCUCUUCAUGGUCACGAAAAAUAACACCAUAGGUAACCGUUUUCGACUCCUUAUUCCAUACCACGUCAAUAUUAAUUUUGGCGGCAUCUUAAAAAAAGUUUCGCUUUCAAGUCUUAUAAAUGAAUAAGAUUAGCAUUGAAAAAGUUUUCCUCUUAUAUGUAGUUCGACCCAAUUCAACUCUAAAAUAAUUGAGACAUAGUGUAUCUCUCAAACACCUUAUUAUACUAAAAGAAAAGAUCACUUUUUGUUUCAGCUCCAUUUAGGCAUGGAGUUUUAUUUCAUCUAUCUAUACUAUUAUAAUAUGUUUGAAUGAGUUGGUGUUGGUGACACCUAUUAAUUAGAUCUCAACUUAGUUGUAAAGUUACUAAAUGGUCAUUUCUUAGUUGUAAAAUUACAUAUACAUAACGAGAAUCAUAAUAUUCACGAGAAUCACGAGAUUUGAACCCAAAACAUCAUAAUAUUCACAAUUCCAACUUUAACAUUUCAAUCAAAGCUACAUUUAGUUUUAUUUCAAUUUUUUUAUAAAUUUCAUUACAUAAAUAUUUUCACCCACAUUAUGGAUGUGUCAUAAAGUAAUAUUGUUUAGGGGAGAUUGGACUCGCUGUGAGAGAAGUCUUCAAAGUGUCAUUCGAUGGGAGUUGACGAACCCCUCAAUAGUAGAGGUAUUGUGCCUAAGGUGUAGACGGCUCUCUGACCUUUGUGGAGUCAAGGAGACAAACCUUGGGGGAUAAAACCUAGCAACAACACUUCGAGCACAAUAUCUCUGCUAUUAAAUGGUCUAUCAAUUCAUUGGAAACAACAUUUCAAAAACUUCUCUUAAAGUAGCUUCGAUCUCUCCUCAACAAAUAAUAUAAUAAACUCCUAACAGUAAUAUAUAUAUUUGCAUAUUGUGAUCUAAAUUUAUUAUAUAAAUGAUAACAAGAAAGGACUAGAAGCUCAAAGCUUUUCAUUCAUGAAAAAUUGGCAUGACAUCCAUGAUAGUUUGGUAAGCUUAGCUACUACUCCCACACGCCACGGGCAGCACAAAUCUUGUGCCCUUUUCUCAUUAACCCAACCCCUCCUCCUCCCUCACACGCACUUCGUAUAUUAAUAUUGUGUUUAUAUAUUUUAUUUUCAUAAUUAAAUGUGUCAAAAUCUUAAAUAUAAAUACGUUAUUUAUCAUCAAAUUUGACAUGUCACACAUAAUAAACCAAUACUCAAAACCCCAUAGUGUGAAACAAAGCCACUCCCUCCGCCCCCCUCACACCAACCAGCCCUUUCCCAUUUUCACCCACCAACCAUAACGCCCUUUAUAGCAGCUCUCUUUUGUAUUUAUUUUUUUAUAGGUUGAAAUAUGUUGUUAGUCCCUAUAUUUUGAUAAAAUUGAUAUUUUAAUCCUUGUACUUUUUAUUUAAAAAUCUAAGUUCAAUCAUUAAGAUUGUAAGUAUUUUUGGUUAUUCUCAUAUGACAUAACAUAUGAUUGACAAAACAUAAACAUGAUAAAUUGACAAAAUUUUGACAGAAACUACCAACAACGAUAAUGACUAAACUAGGAUUUUUAAAUUGAAAAAGUAUGAGGAUUGAAUAUAGUAUCUUUUAAAGUGUAGGAACUAAAUUUCAAAUUCUAUACAAGUAUAGGGACUAAAACAUAUUUUAACCUUUUAAAUUAUUAUUAUUAUUUUUGAACCCAAAAGAUUAAAAAGAAAGGCACAAAAGGAAGGUUUUCCACAUCCCUCUUGGCAACCCCAUUCACGAGACCAACGUGCCUUUCCUAUUCCAUUUUAUUUCACAUAUAAACCAACAAAAUACUCACCACCUUUCCUCAUUUGCUCUCUUUCAAACCUAACCCUAAGUAGCCCCCCUCUCAAGAUGGCCGACCCGCAAUGCCACGGCUUGUCCGAAACUUGUAGGAAGGGAGUCGGCAAACGCACCACCAUGCCGGUCGAGGCCAAGCCGGUGGUGGUGUCGGAAGUUGCCCCAAUCCCAAUAGCGCCGUGCGGUGCAUGCAAGUUCUUAAGGAGGAAGUGCGUUAGUGGGUGCAUUUUUGCACCCCACUUUGGCUCGGACCAAGGUGCAGCCAAGUUCGCCGCCGUUCACAAGGUUUUUGGUGCUAGCAAUGUUUCCAAGCUCUUGCUUCACAUCCCGAUGAAUCGACGACACGAUGCGGUGGUCACAAUAUCGUAUGAAGCUCAAGCUAGGCUAUCAGACCCGGUUUAUGGUUGUGUUUCCACCAUACUUUCUUUACAACAACAGGUUAAUUAAUCUAUACAUGCACUACCACAUAAUUUAAUUUCUUCCAAUUUUUUUUUUCGUUUCAUAAAUGGAAACCAAAUGUUGUUGGCUAAGUUGUUUGCUUCUUAGCAACAUCUUUCUUUUUCUUCAUCUUGUUUGAAAAGUAACCAUGUGAAAACCGAAACUUCACGUUUUUCUCACAUGUUAUUUAAAUUCGGGUGAGUGUUAAAAUGAAGAUAUGUGUUUAAUAUAAAUAUAUUUAAAUUUUAUAAAUUUUUUUAUUAUCUCAAUAUCUGUCAUGUUUGUAAUAUAAUUAUUUAAAAAGUAAAAAGAAAAAACGCAACAACAUUGUGAGAAACAAAAAAAAAAAAAAAAAACAUUUACACCCAAAUAUAGAAUUUAAGCUAUUUAAGGCCUUAUCUUGACUAGACAAUAUAGAUUCCAUACCAAUUUAAGAUAGAAGAUUUAGUACCAUAGUGAAAUAUUUUCUUCCUUUUAUCACUACAAUAAUAUUAAAUUCUUUAUCGAGUUUAGUAUUAUGAGUCAACCGAACACUAACUUAAUUGGGUAAUGACAAAAAUACUCUUAUUUUACAAAGUAAAUUAUAUCUCUACUACUAUUAAACUCUCUUCUCAAAUUUGGUGUCACGAGUCAACCAAACACUAACUCAAUUAAAUAAUGAUGAAAAUAUUUUUACUUAACACAAUAAACUAUAUUAUUUUGAAGGCGUUUUUAUUAUUUUAUAUCUUUUAUAUAGAAAAAUAGAAAUAUAAAUACACAUAAUAGGAUUUAAACCCAAACUUUUAAAAUUUUUUAACAUCUGUACUUUAUCGUUCAACCAAAAUCUUAUUCAUAUAAUUUUUUUAUAAAUAUACCUAAUUUUCAUCCACAUUGUACGUGUACCAUAAUUUAGUAAUAUUAUAAAAUAAUUACUUCUUUUCAUUAAAUUCAAGAUUUAAAGUUAUUUACACUUUAAAUAUGAUUAGGGUACUAUAUUUUUUAAAUUUAUAUUACCAUAAGAUAUACACCAAAAGAUUGCUGCAAUAAUGUCUUACGAAAAUAUUGCUAAGCUAAAUAUUUUACUAAAAUAUUCUUUCUGGUUGCCAAAAAUACGAAAUUUAAAAUUAUUAUUAUUAUUAUUGUUGCAAUUUGUUUUUGCAGGUAGCAUCGCUGCAAGCCGAGCUAGUGAUGGUGCAAAACCAGCUGAUUAACAGCCGGUUCGCGAUGGCGAACGCCCUGCAAAGCUCGCAGCAGCAACAGCAACAUCACCAGCACCACCAUCAACAACAACAACAGCAACACUUAGCAUUGUUGCAACCAGCAUACUCAAACAAUUCAUCAGCAUCCAAUAACCUCAUAAACAUAAGCAACUUUGCCUCCAAUUUUGACCUUGUGGCUGAAACAACCACCGCACCUAAUUCUUCUCAAAGCAUGGACCAUCUUCAGCUCUCGAGGCCGUGUCAUGACGACGAAGACGACGAACAAGAUAGCCGGAUUCCGCCCGUUUUCGUCAAUCAAAUUAUUCAUCGUACAUAAUCUUUAGGGUAUCUACAUAUCUUUCUCUCUUUUUUUUCCUCUAAAAUUUAUAAAACUUAUAUGAGUUUAUUACUUAUAGACAUAUAUAUAUGCCUUGGAGUUUCUUUUCCGCAAUAUUUUUGUAUUGAUCUUAUAAUACCAUAUAUUCCUCAACCAUAAAAUAAACAUAAAUGAUAUAUAUAUAUAUUAAUUAAGCUUAAUUAUUUAAUUUGUUUAUUCUAUGUAGAGGUGUUGAUGGGUGAAGUCAGAUUAGAUUUGAGUUGGGUUUAAGUAUAAUAUUAAUACAUUUUAUAUUUGUUCAAGCCUGACUUGAUCUAAAACAUGAACCUAAAAUUUUUCUCAAGCCUCUCCAUAUUUGUCAAUAACUAACUCAAACCCAAUUUGAGUCCCCAUGUUAUUAAAAUGUUUUUUAUUUAAUAUUUAAUAAAUUUUUUCAUUUAUUAAAAUGUUAUAUACAAGCAACUUAACAUUUUAUUAAUGUUUAAACUAUAGUAUUAUACAUUACUAUAAAUGUAUUUUUUAUAUGUUACAAAUAAUAUAAUAUAUUAAAAUAACAUAAUAUGAUAUAUUACAAACUUAAAAAACGGGAUGAACUGAGUUCAGGUUCAAAUAUUCAAGGCUCAAGCUAACCUAAGCCCAACUUAUAUUUUAAAUUGAUAUAAUUUUUCACCCAAACUUAUUUUAUAGACUUGUAUUUUUACCCAAAUCUUUAAAUACUUUAAGCCAAAAUUUGAGCUUGGACAUAUAAUCCGACUUUUGAAUAGGUAUAACUCUAUACUAUGUUUCAGAUUUAUCACACAUUUAUGUCUAAUACUUAUAUCGAACGCAUAUUUAAACAUAAUAGUCUAAAAAUAUAAAAUCACAUAUCAUACCGGCAUACUCACCUUGUCUUCAAAUGCAUACUGUAACAGGCCCAUUUUGCCCGGGCUUACACAAAAAACCAAAAAAAAAAAAUCAAAAUAAAUAAAUAAAUAACCAAAAUAAAGUCCAAAUUAACAGUCCAUUAAACAAGUCCAAAUACAAGGCCCAAAUAAACCCUAACCUAAAUUGGCCCAAAAUCUAACCCUAGCCACAUCCUUGCACCGCAGCCUUCACGAGCAGCCUCGCCACAUCGCACGUGCUCCUCCGUUCCUCCGUACACCCCCACGAACGGCCUCGCCAUGUCAGCAGCACCAUGACCUUCGUACCUGCAACGGACUAACAACAACAAUAGUAAGUAGCAGAUAACAGCAAAUGACAGCAAGAAAAUAGAGGUUUUUAUUUUUCUUUUAUUUAUGCUGUAAAAUUCGGCUAUAAAAAGCCAUCAUUUGUACUGUAAAAGGGAUCGAGGAUACGCAUACGAAAAUCGAUACCAAAAGUUUGAAUAAAAAAUAGUUUUUAGGAGGUAAUUGAAAAUCUCAUUUUUCUUUUCAUUUUGCUUUUAUCUAUUUGAUUUUGUUAUUAUAUAAGUAUAAAAACAAAAAUAAAGGAGAGGGAGGAUACCUAUCUUGAUAAAAGCCCUCAAAUCCUUGUUUGCUUUGAAGAAAUCAAAGCUUAAAUAAGGAUUGUGAGAGCUAGGAAUGAAAAAACUUUCAGAUUCAUGGUCGAACAGGGUCGAUUAGGCCUUCGCGCGACGAUCGUCUGCCGAAAACGGAGGCAAAACGGCAGUUGAAGGAUGCCUUAGGUUCGGCCGAAUAAAUAAGGGAAUAAGAUUUAGGUUUUUUUUUUAUUAUUAUUUGCUUUCAAGUGGCUAAAUGCUUGAUUUUAGGGUUUUUAGGCUUGGUUUUGUACAGAGUAAAAAA